CGACGACGCCCCCCAUUUCGGAGCUCCUCCUCGCGAUUCCAAUCCCCGCACGUCUCCUCCGCCUCCGCCUCGCGCAGGGUUAGGGUUUGCUCUGCUCCCCAUCUUGUCGCUUUUGUUUUUUUCCUGUGAGAUUUGGUAGGGAAGGCCUGAUCUGUGUCUUCCGGUGCCUGAUUCAGCGUCUCUUGAUCGAUCUGCGCGGUUUUCUUGUGAUUUUUUUGGGGUGUUGAUUCGUUGGUGCGGGGAAUUCCACGGGCCGUGGAAUCGCGAAGGGGACGGGCGCUUCGAGGUUCGUGUGUUGAUUCGGUCUUCGGUUGGGGGUUUCUUCUGUUCAGGUUGAGUCUUUUGGGUGGGGAAAUGAAAACGCGUUCUUGUUUUUUUCUUCUUCUUAUUUUUUUUAAAAAUUGUAUGAAGGUUGUUUCUCUUGUCCAAACGAUUAGGCUUUACCUGUCUUUUUUUUGUCUGAUUUUUUAGAGUUCGUAGCGCUGCUAAAUGUUACUAGUGAUUCAAGUGUUUUAUUCCAUGGAAAUCGUGCGUAUCUAGUUGUAAGCGGUGGAUUAGUUAAAUUACUUGGCAGAUUUGGUGCAUAUUGUCCUCGAUUUGCAUCACCAUGGUUUUUUUUUACAAAGAUUGGAAUUGAUAUACCCUGAUUUGUUUAGGAAUGUCGUUUUGAUUUGUAUUACACAACGUAUUUUGUGAUAGUGGCUUCCGCGAUGCUCUCCCUAAAAAUUAGGAUCUCGUUUCAUCAAGUACAACAUCUGCAUGACUUAUAUUUGCUGAAGUGACAAAUCGUGUGGUUAUUUACAUCGAUUGUUUAAUGUGCAGCUUAUAGUAGUCAUGGAACACAAGGAGGCGGGCUGCCAGCAACCCGAGGGCCCAAUCCUAUGCAUCAACAACUGUGGCUUCUUUGGCAGUGCGGCCACCAUGAACAUGUGCUCCAAGUGCCAUAAGGAGAUGAUAAUGAAGCAGGAGCAGGCCCAGCUAGCUGCCUCCUCCAUCGAUAGCAUUGUUAAUGGUGGUGACGGUGUGAAAGGCCCUGCCAUAGCUGCAACUGCCGAGGUGGUGUUUGCUCAAGUUGAGGAGAAGGCAAUUUUUGUGCAGCCUCCAGUUGUAGCUGAAACCAGCGAGGCUGCUGCUGUAAUCCCCAAGGCCAAGGAAGGCCCGAACCGGUGCGCAACCUGUAGGAAGCGGGUUGGCCUGACGGGAUUCAACUGCCGAUGCGGUAACAUGUACUGUGCGGUGCACCGCUAUUCCGACAAACAUGACUGCCACUUUGACUAUCGGACUGCAGCUAGGGAUGCGAUUGCCAAGGCCAAUCCUGUGGUGAAGGCGGAGAAGCUCGACAAGAUCUGAGGGGUAAUGGGGAGCGGAAUUGGUUAUGAUCUGCAAGAUUCAGUCAUGCAUCUUUGCUGCUUUAUCAUUGAACUUCCCAUUCUUGUUUGCUGCCACAUCCCCGAGUUGUUCAACACUGAUGCACAUGCAUCCUGGCAGCUGCAAGAAUUCAUCCCCAGUCGAGUCCAAAAUGGUUUGCGUGUUGGCUAUGUUGUGUAAGCUUAUUCAGUUAUUCAUGGUGGUUUGGUUGGUAUUGUGGCAUUCCCAUUUAGGUAGCUCUGUAAUGUACUACUGUCUCGUGCGUGUUACAUCCCAAUCAGUAAUAGUAAUCAGCAAUGGUCUGCCAUAUUUCCUCGCAAUUUUCUGGUUCUCUUCUUUUCAUGUGCGCUUGUGAAUUUCAUUCAGAGCAAUGGGGGCAAUUGCUCAGAUGUUUGAUAUUAUCUGAAGUUUUGAUGUGUGGAGCUAUUGACCAAUCAACUGUUCUUGCUUCGUGCUCUCUGAAGUGGAAGCAAUCAGCUUCCGCUGCUUGCAUGAAGUGGGAUUGUUGUGGAUGAACACUGCAUUUUAAAAUCAUGUAGCAGCCGAGAGAGCUGUGGAUGGAGCUUUAUUGUUGGGUAUGCUGAUUCUUUAUUACAACACAGUCUAUGCAAACGCAAUUACUUGGUGCAAACACAGUCAAUUCAUCAUGAUCUAUUUUGGAAAAUCCUGUAAACAAAGGAACUUGCUUGCAUGGUUUCCACAAUUCUUAUCCUUCUCUCUUUCUAGUCUGUGCAAGUGGGGACAUGCAGCUCUCCUUUUUACAUGUGAUUGGUACGAAGCCUAAUUUGUUUUUGUAUGAUUGUCACCUGCAAAGAAUUGGAACAAGUCUAAACAACUUGUUUUUGUAUGAUUCACUUGCAAAGAAGAUAAUUCGUACGAAAAAAAUAUUCUUCUGCAUGGGGGGAAUAUUUUUGCUCCUCAAUUUGUGGGUGGGUCUCUUCAGACAUCAUGGGAACAUUGAGCAACUCUUGUGCCGGGUGUUGAGCUGCGAUGGAUUAAAGAACGCAAGCAAUGAUAUAGGUUCUGUUUGGAUCCACUAGCUAUAUUUGAGCUGGUUAAAUUUAACUGCUAUGGAUGCAAAUAUGAUCUAACUAGUUUAAUUUUUUGUAGUUGGUUGAACCCAGCUAAACCAGUAAAAGAUGAAAUUGCCUCUCAACCUUCCCCGAGAAAAGUUUUUAAAGUGGGAGGGAGGGAUACUAUAGACGAAUACCUCUUCUAUAUAGACGAAUACCUCUUCUAGCUAGUGGAUCCAAACACCUUUAACUAAAGUAGCUAAAAGAAAGUUUCUAGAGUUUAGUUAGGUGGAUCCUAACAGGGCUAGGACCAUAGAAGCCUGAUCGCCUUGAGAUUCCUUGUUUGUUUAUGGGAGAAUGGAUAGGAUCUCAGCUUUGUCGUCCUCCCAUCCCAGUAGCUGGAGAUGUAUUUUAUGGCACUAGCUGUUGCUACCUGCUCUGAUCAGUUUACUAUAAAACUGCCAUUAUAUUGUAGAGUAUGUAACAGCCUGAAGAAAACAUUUGCAGAGCUCAGCAGCAACCAUGGGGAUUACCUAGUUGCAAAUAAGACACCCAAUGGCACUUCUUUUUUACCCAGCCAGAACUGAGCAACCCGGAUUCAGGGCAAAGAGCAGAUCACUUCAGGACGAAACAUUUAGCAACACCUUCAGUUACCGAGAUACAUAAGGUGAACAAACUCAUCAGCGGUGUCUUCAGCUGCGAAAAAUUCACAUAAUCUCAAGUAACUUUCUCACUCAAGAAAGGACCGAAGAAGCGCUGUGUGGAUUGCUCGGUAUUGCAGUAAGUGAAUGUAUAUGAGAGGGAUACACAUGAAACAGCUCAUUUCCUCUUUAAUUGUCUGUUCUAAACUACAGUGUAUGAGAAGAAAGAGGCCGUGCAUUAUUCUGUAUUUUUUCUACUCCAAGUGUAAAUUUGGGGACUCAGCCCCCAAUGUUGAAGUAAACCGUAUAGAAUUCGUCCCUCAAGCUGUACAGUGGCUCCAGGAUGAAGUUCCUCCUCACUCCCUUUGCGAUAAAGCUGAUUGGAUGGUACUGCCUCAGUGGGGCAGUCUGCACAAAGCUCGCCGCCUGCUCGAGUAUCCCACCAAUGCUCUGAAGAGAGCUCUUGCAGCUGACCUGAAUCUUAGUCUCUGCAGAGUAAUCCACGCCUGUCACCAAGAAGCACCCUGGUUUGGUCCCGAGCUCGAGGGAAACUGAAUUAGGAUUUCCAUCGAGCCCGGGUAUUAUGUUGAAGAGGGAAUCUGAACCCUUCUGCGCGGAUAGGGUGAGGUUGUUGGUGAUCACAGUUCCUGGCAAGUCAAAUGGCUCGAUCAGCACGGAAGCUCCCUUCAUGGUUGUGCUGUAUGUGUCAUGCAGCUCCGUUGAGUCCUGAGGGUGUGCCCUGAAUGUUGCGUGGAUGGCGAUGUCGGUGCCGUCAACUUCAGGUCGCUCUUGCAUUGUUAGGGAGCCAUUUGCGCUUGAGAGGACAAAUGUUUUUCCAUUGGAUACUUGUGUGAAGGUUGCCAGCUGUGAGUUGUACACUGAAGGAACAGUGGUGAUCCAAUCUGAAAUUGUACUGCUAUUGCCAACUUUUGCAUCCCAGUCACCAGUGGAUAGGCCAGCAAGAACAAAUGGCCCAAAUAGGAUGGCUUGAAGGGAUGCAUACUCCGGCCUGUCAUCUGAACAGAUAGCUAGCAAUUAAUAUUGGAUCAAGUUCCUCAAAAAUAUUUGGAUCAAGAUUCUCUCUGUACAAAAAUCUGAAUAUUAUCACACAUCGUAGCAAAAUCCGUUAUUUCUACUAGCGCCCCUAUGUUUUUGUAGUAUAAGUGUACAACCACUGGUUAUCAUGGUGGUAUAUCAGUGUGCGAGCCAAGUAAAGUCAGCCAAUUUGUUCUUCAAUCUUAAAUUAGUCAACAGUGGAAGUAUCAUGAGUUACCUUUAAUUGCUUCAGUUCUUAACCUGAUGGGAAAGCGUAGUGAUAAGUGAUCCUCUGAGUUCCAUUGUUUGGUGACUGAGAGGAAAGAUCCUGCCCAUAAAAUAACAUAAGGUAAUGAACUGGGCUUCAAAAAUCGAUGAUAAUUUGAAUAUUGAACAGAAUGGAAUGAUUUUACCUGGAGAUAAUGACCCCAAAUCUUUGCCAUUUAGAUUUGCUCCUGCACCAUCAGCAAAUGUCCAUGAUGGAAUUCUAACAUUCAAUUUGGCAGACUGACUUGUCGUCUGAACAAAUAGCAAACAAAUGAGCUGAGUGAAGAUGUUUUUUAUCUGAAUUCAACGUAUAAAGAAUUGAAAAUAAUUACCUCUGCAGAAAUGGAGAGUGAAAUUUGAAGAUACAGGUCAGAAGAACUGAGGGUUUUGAUUUGCUGAGUAACAGUGAGCCCAGCUGCUUUCCAGUUGAAAGUGCUUGGUAUGUACUGAAUGAUGUUGAGUGCAGGUGUAUCUUCUUUCUCCUCAAAGUAAAUAGAAUCGCCAAGUUUUGAAAAGGAUUCUAUACCUGCACAUGGAAAUCAUUAUAUUUUGAAAUAAACAACUUGCUCGAGAAUAAAUGCGACCCCAACGUUCACAGCUUGAGGCAAUAAAGCAGAAAGGUUAAAAAUGAAGGGGCUAGACACUGCCUUUAGCUUAUGGAAUCAAAAUUGGAUAGAAACAGUUGGUUGAAAUCAAGCAGAAUAUUCACAUCAAGGCAAUAAAUAGAUGUUGCAAUUUUUGUAUUACCUGUCCCAUAACAACACCAGAAAGAAUCGUACUUUGUUCCCCAACCAUGAUAACUCACAGCCUUAGAGUGUCCAGGGGCCUGGGGUAGCAUGUAAAUCAUCACACCAGGAUCUGUCCCCCUUUGAAUGCUUAAAACACCAUUUAUCAGUGCUCUUUCAUAGUAAUCUGCAUAUGAUAUUUCCUUUGUCCAUCGGAAUAGGUUGCGAGAUAUCUGGAUAUGACACAGGUUUACAUAUGACACAUUUCUAAACAAGAAAACAAUUUUUUAGUAUGGUUUCACAACCUUAAGCAUGUUGUAAGUGGUGCAAGAUUCCUCAUUCUCAGUACUCAGAGUCUCAGCUAAAUGUUUUGGGUCAGUCCUGAAAAACAAUUAAGAGAAUCAGUUCCUUGCCAAAUAUAACUUUCGAUAUACUAUGGAAGUAUUGAUGCCAUUAAUCAAGCAUCUACAAGCUAUAUUACCAGAAUUCACCAGCAGAUGUGCCACCAGUCGCGUAGCUAUGAGAUGAAUUUAUUGUAUCCAUAAAGAAUGUGGCAAUUUGCUGUUUCAAAAAUGAGGCUUAUGGUCAACUUCACUCAAAUGGUGGAGAACAAAUGAUAAAAAGAAGACAGAAGAUGGUACUACUUCAGACACAGAGACGCAGAUACUCAUAGGCAAAAGGCUAAAAUGGAUGUAAAGGAAAGAAACAUAUAAAUCCAAAGAGCUGUGCUAAACACGCAUAAUGUCAGCAUAUUUCAAAAAAUUGAAAACAGUUUAUCUUAAUCCAUUCGGAAUUUUAGUAAUAACAGCAAGAGUCAUACAUAUCUUAAUUUUUAUUAACCCAUUUUUCCUCUUCUGAACAGUAGUCAGUGUCUUUAUGUAAACUGAUAACAGCAUGCACUUUAUGUCCGCAUCCCCUAACAGAUUCCUCACUGUCUAUGAAAAUGGAAUACUUCAACUCUGUAGUAAUAAAUUUCGCAGUGAACUUUACCUUGUAAAGAGGAUCUCCGGUAACUUCAUACCUCAUCUGUGCACCAAUGACAACUGGAAUGUGUGUAUUGGAAUGGAAGCCUGAAAUGCUGUCAGCCUGAAAUGAAACAAAUACACAAACAACGCUAUCACUAAACGAAAAAUCCCUCGAGAGGAACAGUAAUUCUAGUCCAUCGAUUGAGUCCUGUACUAGGAACCCAAGUUCAAUUUCCAUGAAAGUGUACACUUUACAUGGUAAUACCAGUUCAGUAGUGGCAUAAUUAAAAUCUGUUCGAUAUAUAGACAUGUAGUGACCACUGGAUGAUAAGCAAAUUGAACUGAAGUUAGUAAUCACAAUUCUUAACAUAGUUAAAACUGAAACUGGUUAAGUUCUAUUUCAGUCAUUUAUUGUAAUGUAAACAUAAUCCUAGCUAUCACCAAAUAGCUGAAGAUUCACAACUAGCAAACCAAAUCAGUGUUUCAGCACACCUGAACUGCAAGCAGCCCAAGAAAGCAUGGCUUAUCGAAGAGAUGGGCCAGUGUCAAAUGCUUCAGAUCAUUCUGCCCAAUUAAGAGAAAGUCAGCAUAUCAGCUAGAUAUAACUGUAUUAAUCGAUGCUACACUUGUAACAAACGGCAAAUCACCGUUAUUGUGUAGAGCUGAUAGAGCACAUCAUUCAUCCCACCAGUUUCCUCAUUGAGAGACUCCCAGUGCCUCUCAAUGCUGUAUUUCUGUAUGACAUUCUUCACCCGAUCACUGAAAUAAUUAGCCAUCUUUACCACCAUGUCAAGAGCCUUGGAAUUCCCAGCCACCGUGUACUGAUCAAGAAGGCCUUGCAUAAUCUGUAAACCAAAAAUUAGACCCACUCAAAUUGGUGAUGAUCAUUCAUUCAUUGCACAAUCUGUAAACCAAAAAUUACACCCACUCAAAUUGGUGGUGAUCAUUCAUUCAUUCACAUAUUUAUCAUGAAGUAGAAACUGAAAACCCCCAUGAACCUUGUGGAUUGUGUAGUAAGGGGCCCAGACAGGCCUGAUGGCCUCAACCCAAUCGAAGAAUUCCGACGGGAAGGCCGACAGGUACCCUGUGCCCAUCUUCUUCUGACAAUCAUAGAGCGCGUCGACGACAGACGACAUUUUCACAUUAAGAGUAUCAUUGUGUGUGCUAGCCCACAUCUUUGCAGUAGCACUCAGGUAAUGCCCUGAAAAGAACAACGGCAGGACGCUGAAAUUCAGCCUAGCUGCGAAAUUGUAGUGGGUAAAUGCUACAGAAUCGAAAUCAAACUGAGAUGCGGUGGCGCACCAACAAAGUGACCCCGGAGCUGGACGUUAGGGCCCUCCCACCCGCCAUAGGGCGUUCCCGGCGCCGUCAGGCCGGCUUGCUUGCGGAAGCUCCAGACGAGGCGGUCGACGUCCAGGAGGAGCAGGUACUCCAGAUUGGUCUGCUGUGCUUGCCAGUACGGGCUGCCCGGCUCAAGCCGCACGUCGUGCAGGGAGGCCUCGGAGAGGAACGCCCCGGCCGCAACCCCGGGCCGCGGCGCGCCGGCGGUGGCGCCCCGGAGCUUGCGGUAGAGCAUGAGCCAGUCGAACGCCUCCUCGCGCCGCAGAGCCCGCCGUGGCAUGAGCGACAUCCAGGCGGACUCGUCGGUGGGGGUGAGGUGCUGCUCGUGGCCAUGCUCAUGGGUGUGGCGACCGUGGUGGCUGCGCUCGGGCACCGGCGCCCGCGGCGCGGACCGCAGCUGCGUCGCCGCGCGCUCCGUGUGCGACGUCAGCCCCGGGAACGCGUUGGUGCACGACUUACCCUCCGCGCCGUGCCAGCCGGCUGCGGCGGCUAAGAUCACCACGGCCCCCAGCGCCGCCGCCGCCGGCAUGCCCGGCCCUCUCGCCAUAACCAACCCCCCUUUCUUGGCAAGAACCACUCGUUACCCUGUCCUCAGUUGACCGACACACACCGCAUAAGCGAAAGCCUCCAAAAACCCAAACCUGUAACCUGUGAGAAGGGCGAGGAGGAUAAGAUUAAGCAUCACGAAAUGGUGACAGCGCAUCAAACUACCAGUGAUUCAACCAAGAAUUGCGCGGAAAGCAAUUCAUACGAGGGGAACAAAGAUCGGAGGGAGGAUUGAAGAAGACGACCUCGACUCACUUCACUGGAGUGAGACUGUGACAGUGAUGUUUACUGUUUCCGUCUCGAGAGGAAGGAGGAGAAAUUGCUCCUUUUUCGCCGGGGACGGAUCAACGGAAUAGGGGUGGGCGACAAAUGCGCAUCGGGAGAGCGACGGUUUAUAUCAGAGGAUUCUUGGACCCCAAGAGCCGCAAGGCGACGCCAUCAUCACCCAUCCAUCAUCUACCGGUUCGUCCCAAUCCACCAUGGCCGUCGCCCGCCGCUUGCUUGCACGCCACCGCCGGCCCGCCGCACGGCAGCAAGUGGCGCAUCGGCAUCACGUCGGAGAGGUAAAAGCUUCUCUGCCCUUUUCAGACCCAAGGGCAGAGACGGCAACUUGGCAGCGGAGCUCGCAACCGAAACCGGAGAGCGGAUGCGUCAGGGUAAAACCUACCCUGUUGGUGGAUGGAUCACCGGAUUGAGCUGAACUUGCAACUGAACACUCUCGGAGAUUCCCUGAUCUUGUCAUGCUUCUGCCGUUUGCAGGACACGGCAUUGCAUGGCAUCUAACCGAUCCUGUGUUCCGGCUCAGCCUCAUCUGUUCGAUGUGCAGAGGCCGAUGCAGCAGACCCCAGAGGCGUGCUGCGUGCAUAUCCAUCGAUUGAUAGAUCCAUUUCCUUCUGACAAUAGAAUCAUCGUGCGCAUAGACCACACCUGCAUGCCAAGACAAUGUCACAUGGAUGAAUAGGAUGCGAAGUGAUCGAUUGUUGUGUCAGUUUCAGAAGGCCGAGUGGCAGCAUGUUGUCGGUCAUGUUCUAUACUACCUCUGAUGGGCCUUGAGGCGAGAGCAAUAUCUCCGCCCUCCCAAGAACAGAGGAUGCCCAAGCUCUUCUGAAUACCACCAAACAAGCUCCCUUAGGAUCCAUGCUGAAAUCGCACAAGAUAUACCAAACAAAAUGUGUUCAAGCUCUUCUUAAAACAUAAAAUGAAAAUCAAAAGAUUUUUGGGCGAGAAUGGGAACAACGGUAAUCAUCCUUGAAGUCGACCCAAACUUUUGACUAGUUUCCAACCCCAAUCAUUGCCGAUCCAGGCCCAAAUCUAGCCCACCUCAGGCACCCGCAAUGGUUAAAGAGGGUUUGCUCUCUGUUACUUGUCUACCAGCCCUGUUUGGAUAUCAUAUGCUAAAUUUUAGUACAGUGUUAAAUUUUAGCACCCUCAAAUAAAAGGUUAAAGUUUAGCACCUUGGGGUGUUUGGAAAGGAGGCUAAACUUUAACACCUGGGUUGACAAAAGACUCAUUUAUCCCCACUUUCUUCCUUUCUUUCUCCUCUCUCUCCUCCUCUUCUCUCGCUCUUCUCCCCACCUUCCCCAGCCGCACCGGCCUCCGUGCCCCUAGCUGCCCUCCCUCCCCCGCUGGGAGGUGGCGGCCGCGCGGCCAAGCUCCUCUCCCUCCCUGCGCCAGCAAAAUCACCUCCGGGCGUCGCUCCUCACCCUCCUCCCCCGGGUCAGAGCCACCGCCGCGCGGCAAGGACUCCUCCUCCACCGGUCCCGCCCCGCUCCCGACGGCAGAGAGGUGCUCCCUCGUCGCGCAGCGCCGACUCCCUCGUCGCGCGCCUUGCUGACGGGGAGGACGGGCCGGCCGUGGCCCUGCACCGAGAGAGGGGGGUGCGGAGGCGGCAUGGCCGGCGGAGGCAGCGGGGGCGGCGGAGGCGGCGUGGCCGGGUGGAGGAGGCGUCGCCGGCAAAUGCGGUGGGGCCGGGCGGAGGAGGCGUGGCCGGCGGAGGUAGCGAGGCCGGCGGAGGAGGCUUGGCCGGCCGAAGGAGGAGAGAGAGGGGGGUGGGGGGCAACCAGGGAAAUUUUAGAUAGGGGACCACUUUUAGCACCUAUUUGAUGUGCUAAAAAAAGUGGGGUGCUAAACUUUAGAACACCACUUUUAGCACACCUGUUUGGGAGCUCUAGUGCUAAAAGGGUGCUAAAAGUGAGGUGCUAAAGUUUAGCACCCCUCUUCCAAACAGGGCCAUAAUAUUUAUAGAUCCAUCACUUAGCGGAUUAUCUGUAGUAUUUAUUGCUAAGUUUCGUGGGUCGUAUAGUAUUUUUUUAGUCCUCCUACUCUUCUCUCUCUCCUCCUUCCCCAUCCCCCACACCGACAACUGCUUUUCCGGCUGACCUUGUGAUGAGAACAUUACCUGCUCGGAUACAACCAUAUUAGCAACUUUUGAUUCACAGGUAAAAUAAUUCUUUGAAAAUUCAUUUGAUGAAUUGAUGCUACACCAUGAUGUGUGUUUAUUGUCAUUUGAUACGUACGUGGAUCAAAACGAGUGUUAAACACACAUCGAAGGCAUGGAGGACCAAAGAAGUUGAUUAGAUUCCAAGUCCAAGUAUUCCCAACGUCCUCCACUAGGCCACCACGUCACUUUUCGCCCAAGAAAAGAAAGAGAUCAAAUUCAACACGUUUUGGGGCUGAAUUCAGACUACAAGCACUGCGCCAAAUUGCAACGGCCGACACGACCUCAUCCAAGCUCCGUUUUGGGCGUUCAAGUACUCCUUGGAAUUCUUAUGAAGUCUAUUUUCAUAUGGAUCUAGACUCAUGUUUAUAUAUUUUCUGAGGCGGUCGCAAUGAUCAAAUUACUACCGAGAGAUUUUUCUGUCAAAGGUGCUGCGUUGCCUUAUUUUGGUCCAAUGGGCCUUGUAUCAAUUCGGGUCCAAUAAGGACGUGUCCUAGGGUUGGAGCACGACACCAGGACCCCUAUGGUCGUCCUCCUAGGUAUAAAUAAGGUUUAGAGCCACCACAAACAGAUUGAGUUUUGUUUAGAUGUAAGUUUAGCCAUUGCUACUUCCUUGUAGACGCGUGUGUCGACUAGACCAUCCGUUCUACUUGAUUCAGAAUCCCAAAUUUGUAAUUUUAGAUUGGUUUUCAUCUCCAUAUUUGCAAUUGAGUUGCUUGUUCUACUUAUUCUUACUUAUUCCUCGAUUGCUUGCAGGAAUUACCCUAGUGGUUUGAUUGAUCGUGCUCCACGAGAUCGCGGCGACCAUUGAAGAUGGUGUAUCGGUUGCUAAGACGCAGCAUCCUUGGAUGGUUGUAGUCGGGGCUGUGAACGUCACCGCGCGCUCGAGCCGGCGGAGUGGCGGAGCCACGAUAGCUCGACGGCCCCAGCUGCGCCCCAUCCACCUCCUGCACGGCGGCAUGACCAUGCUCCGUCACAUCCUGCACCGACCACCACGCAGCCACGCUCCUCCCUGCUUGCGCCACCUCGUGCUGGAGCUACCGUCGCCACACCGGGCGCGCUCCGCCCGCCCCCGCACCGCUGCUGCGGUCUUCUGCCCCUCUGCCGAGCUCCACGCUCGUAGCGUGCCUUGCUUGGUCUCGCUCCACACCGACACCGGGCCCAGCAUAUCCGGCCACCACAUACGCGUACCCAUUGCUAGGCCCCUGACACCCGCACCGCUGUGCUCUUCCUGCUCCCUAGGCCCCACACAUCAGUCUCCGAGCAUCUGCUGCCGAAUCAGAUCUGAGAGCGAGCAGAGGGGAUGCGAGCGGCCGACCGGGGCGGCGGGACAGCGAGCGCAACGAGCUGUUGCAGGCGAGUGGUGAUGUAGAUGGGAUGCAAGGUAAAUCCACCAAUUUGCACAGGUUAGGGUCUGUUUGGGAAGGGGGUGUUAAAGUUUAACACCCCACUUUUAACACUUUUUAACACUUUUUUAUCCAAACACUUGUGUUAAAAGUGAGGUGUUAAAGUUUAACAGCCCAUUUUUCAUAAACACAUGGAUGAGGUGUUAAAACUUGCUAAAGGUGUUAAAAGUGGUCCCCCUCUCUACUUUUUCCCAGGUUACCCCUUCUCUCGCCUCCCUCUCUCUCCGCCGGCCAUAAAUGAGGGGGCAAUGGAGUCAUUUCUCACCAAAGGUGUUAAAGUUUAACACAUCAUCCAAACACCCCAAUGUGUUAAACUUUAGCACUCUAUUUGAGAGUGUUAAAACUUUAACACUUGUUGAAUUUUAACAUAGGGUAUCCAAACAGGCCCUUAAUCUCUGCACCUACCAGAUGCAAAUUUGCCAAAUGUAAUCUCUGCACCUCACGAGCUUGAUUGGGCUGGCUCGAGCCUGGCUCGUGAGCCUAGCUAAGGUCCUGUUUGGCAACACACUCCUAAACUUUAGUACCUGUCACAUCGAAUGUUUGAUACUAAUUAGGAGUAUUAAAUAUAGUCUAAUUAUAAAACUAAUUGCAUAGAUAGAGUCUAAUUCGCGAGACGAAUCUAUUAAGCCUAAUUAGUCCAUGAUUUGAGAAUGUGGUGCUACAGUAACUAUUUGCUAAUGAUGGAUUAAUUAGGCUUAAUAGAUUCAUCUCGUGAAUUAGUAUAGAAUUUCUGUAGUUAGUUUUAUAAUUAGCUCAUAUUUAGUUCUCCUAAUUAGCGUCCGAACAUCCGAUAUGACACUCCUAGUUUAGGAACACCCCGUGAGGCAGACCAGGCUGCCAAACGCCCCCAAAGCGAAGCCACGGCCCACGGCCCCGUCGGCCGUCCGCCACCGUUUUUUUUCCCUCUUCUUCUUCGGUGCAACUCCUACCAGACCGUGCAGCCCCACGCGAUCCAGCUACCACCCGUGGCCGCGCUCGCCGCCUUCCUCGCGCCGCCGCGGAUCCACAAAGGUAUUCUUGGCGUGGUGCUUUCGCUCGUGUCGCGCGCCCCUGGUCCUGUCGCGGCACCCGGCGUGGAUCUUGGCCUGGAUUGUCCCGAUACUCCGCAGCAAAAGCAAGGGUUCCGAGGUGGUUUCGCGGUUUCCUGGCGUCUCCUCUUGCUCGCCGGUUCGUCCCAAGGUGCGGCCUUCUGAAUUCCUCGUACUUCCAAAAUCGAUGUGAUAUGUUCUGUGCGCGCUGGGAGGAGUGCAUCUGAGCACCUGCAUUGCAUCUUCAGGACGCUUGUUAGUGAGCUUAAUUGGAUUUGUUCUAGAUCUACCGCAAUUAUAUGCGUUCAUCCGUGGAAAAAAAUGUUGUUUUCGUUUCCCUGGAUGUCUAGCCUGUGGCUGCUAUACUUGUAUGCGAUGAAAUGAUGCUACAUUAUCCUGAAUUGCUGGCAGGGCACGUGUUAAUUUUUUGUUGCAGGCAUAUCUUGGUGCCCGUGAUUUAAGUGGUACAAUUAAGGCCAGAAGAAUCAGCUUUAUUCAACCAGUGUUUGGAUAUGGUAUCAGCUAACCUUGGGUUGGCACAUUAUGUACUGGAACUCUUCUUCAUCGCACCAAGUUAGGAACACCAUUUUUCUCAAAAGGAUGGGGAGGUACCAAACUUGAUUUGCUAGAGAGCAUGGUGAAGCAGCUGUUCCCUGAAGCACAUUGCCAAAACUGGCCACCAACUGCUGUGCAGCCAAUGUGGAAAACAAUUUGGGAGACAAACAGUUCUUGUCUGCGAGAGGGUGUUUUCAGGACUAAAUGUGAUGAGAGACUAGUCGAUGCAUUGCCCCCUGAAAAUCACAAUGCAGGAGUUGCUUUUCUUACUCCUAAAAACAUUACACCAGAGAAGAUGUCAUGCAUGGUCCAUCUUGCAGGUACAUGAUUUUGUGGUUUCAUUAUAUUUGUUCCCUAAUGCACUGCAUAGAUUAGGAAAACCAUUUUCUGAUAUGAAUGUUUAGCUUGUAUGCAUUUUAAUCAGUUUCUGUUGUCUGGUAGAACGGAUUAUGAACGUAUUAGUCUGCUGGCUUUCUAGCGCUGCCAAGUUUAACAUUCCUCUUUUGACAGCUUCCCUAUCUUUUUUUGAAGAUAAAAAACUUUCCUCACUGCCAAGUGCUAAAAUUGAAUAAGGACUAGUCUCCUUUUACUGUUAGUUUCAUAUUGAUUGAUGAAUAUUGUCACAAAAUUGUUCAUAGUAAAAAAAAACUGCUCCACUCUUUUUCCUAUAAAAAUAUGUCUCCGCUCUCAUCUAAUGAAUCUAAAUUUUCUGUAAUAAUAUAGGCACUGGUGAUCACACAUUUGAACGCAGGCUUUGGCUCGGUGGGCCUCUUUUGAAGAACAAUAUUGCAAAUAUGGUUCUUGAGAGGUGAGAGUUACUUGCAUUCUUUGUUAAAAUAUUUUCUCCACAAUUCACCAAGAUCUGAUCCAUUGAACCACAGCCCCUAUUAUGGACAGUGACGUCCUAGCAUGCAGGGUGGUGCAAAGCUUCAGUGUGUGAGUGGCUUGUUACUUUUAGGGAAAGCCACAAUUGAUGAAGCUCGCAGUCUCCUGUACUCGCUGCAGGCUGAGGCUGGUUACGGCAAGAUGGGCAUAUGUGGGCUCAGCAUUGGUAUGUUAACACUGGUUUUGCUCAUGAAUGAAUAUAGCUAGUCUUAAAAAUAAUGUAGCAGCCUAUUUGUCAAACCCAUCUGAUUCUUAUAAUUUUCUGGUUAUAUUUACAAGGUUCCUUUGACAUUCUUCUCAAAAAAUAAUUCUUUGCUGAUGACACAGGUGGUGUCCAUGCCGUGCGUGAUGGGGGGAUCCCUUCAUCCUACACCAAUUGCUACACCGCCAUUUCUCACUUCGCACUCUGCCGUGGUACCUUUCUGUGAACGGGUCUACAAAUAUGCCACAGCUUGAGAUGUGUUGAGAGAAGAUGCAGCAGCAUUAACUCAAGAUGUAACAUCUUUGACAGAAGAUGCAGCACAGAAAACUGGGGUCACUAUUGAGGAAGUCAUAGAUAGGUUGCGGUCAGUGUUGUCUUUGACUGAGGUCACUCGAUUUCCAGUCCCAAAGAACCCGCAGACUGUCAUCUUUGUUGGUGCAACGGUUAGUGUUUUUUUUUAACCUUUUAACAUCAAUUUAUAAUCUCUGAAAACAUGAUCUCCCCCUCCUCCCCCCCCCCCCCCCCCCCCCCCCCCCCCCCCCCCGAGCCUUUUACUUUGUUUCACGAUUCUGAUAGGUUAACAACGAUCAGAGUAUAUCACUAGUAGACUGGCUAUUUUACUACUAUUACAGUAGGACUUCAGAGUUAAGUCAAAUUGUAUCUUUCACCUGCACUGUUUACAACAAGUUCUUUUUGAGACCACACUGUUUGCAGCAAGUUACCGUAGCACUCCAGCAAUGUUCAGAAAUUGAAACUUACAUUGAUAGCAGAUAGUUUACUCAAGCACUCUUAUCUUCUCAUGUUCAGCAAUGUCUCCUUAUUUCAGACAGAGAUUGCUUACUCGAGUAUUCGUUUUCAGCUGGAGCUUUCUUCUAAUCUGAAGCUAUGUUCCCUUUACAGGAUGAUGGUUAUAUUCCCAUAAUCCCAUACAUUCAGUCAUGAAGCUCCAGAAGGCAUGGCUGGGCUCAGAAGUCCGGUGGGUAACGGGAGGCCAUGUUUCGUCCUUUUUCCUCCACAAUGACGCAUUCCGCAAAGCCAUCGUCGUCGCCCUUGACAGAUUGUAACGUCUAACAAGCUCGAGCCAACAAAAGACCCAUCUUUUUUUUUUUUCAACUCGACCUAACCAUUGAUCAGGUCUAUUAUCACCCUAACAAAAUUCUUGCAAUAUUAUCACCCUAUCAAAAUUCUUGCAAAAUCAAACAACACACACCCUAACUUGUACGAGAACCGGUCAAUUUCUUAGGUGAUUUAACACACUUGGUUAUACUGCAUGCCCACUUAAGAUCAAACUUAGGUCUUACAUCAUGUAUUUCUUAUUAAUACGUUUGUUUUGUUGACUAAUAGGCGAUGCGUUUGUUGAAUCUGCGCAUUUGCAGUGGCUUCGUUAAUCUCAAGAUACGUUUGCUCUUAUGCAUUUACAGGAUGUCAAGGCAUCCUCAGGGCUCGUAGAGUGGAGGAAAAAAAACCGCUUAAGAAAAGUUUCCAUGUUUCACAUGAAAAAUUUAUGAGCUUUAGGUGCAGAUGCCAAAUAGCAAGAAAUGAAAAAUAAAAGAAUUAGAUGAAACAUAUCGUAACCUAGAAACAAUGUCGUAACUCGAUAUCUCGAGCUUAUCGAUCUUUCUCUAAAUAAACUAGCUCUAACACCACUAGUCGAAUCCAGAUCAUACCAGUAUCUUACACAAGUAACUUCAUUUUCUAUGCACCUUUGCAUGGACGCAUGCUCCCACGCGGUGAUGCCGCCAUUACCUAACGUUUAAACUCCCUUUCAAAAGGGCAAAAAAUCGUGGCCUACGCAUGGGGCGGGCAGAGAACCGUGCUGCAACCGGCUGCCUACCAUCACCAUCUGCUUCUCUUUCCUCUCUCUUUCACAAGGCAAUACGUGCUGAGGCAUUAUCUCUCCGCUUUUGCGUAGGAACCCUUUUGAUCUUGAGAAAUUGCCUAAUUGUUCACAUUCCAUUCCAAGACGACUUCAAGGUGGUAAAGUGGCAGCAUGAUCUUAAAGCUCAUAACUGAGACGAUAAAUUUUUUAAGAUAAUCUACACAAUAUAAGAUUAUACGGUACAAAUACUACCAAAUACUAGCUCUUUAGAAGGUUUUUAUUACUUCAUGUAUCAAGUAUCAUGUAUCAAAGGUAGAUUGCUGACCGCGAAUACCACGCGGUAAGGUUUUUAUUACUUCGAUGUUCUCUUGAAGGAACUAACUUAUUUAUGGUUGAUGUGCAGGCUCGCUCUACAAUAACGUUACAAUCCAGUGCCAUUUGCGUUUUACACGCAUCAUAAUGUAUCUUUUGAUAUGCAAGAACUUAAAGGAUAAUUGCAAUAAACAUUCUAUUAAGUGAAAAACACCAAUUUUUUUAAAAGAAAAUGAAUAACUAUCAUGUAAUAUAUAUUUGAGGGGAAAAAAUUGUAGUUAUAACAUUCUAAAAGUUGAUGCACUUAUUACUGUUGUGUUUGCAUAUGUUAUCACAGCUAUGAUAGCUAGAUUCAAAACGAUACUCCCUCCAUCCUAAAUUGUAGAUCAUUGCUAUGCACUUAGGUAUGGUACAUAUUUAGAUAUACAACAAAAAUUAUGUACUUAAAAAAACUAAAAUGACCUACAAGAAAGAAAACGGGAGACUAACAUAAGAGCAUCUCCAGCAGACCCCCAAUAAAUAUUUUCCAAUGCCUAGUUAACAAGGAUAUCCUAAAAUCAUUUUCAUCGUUAUUGGGAGAAUUGUUUUUGCUGUCUCCCAAUAAUCUCAUCCCAAUCCAACUACCGUAUUGGAAGAGUCACAACUCCGCUUUUAUUUAGGGAAAGUUAGGGUGAAUUAUUGGAUUGUCCCAAUAAUUAUUCGGAAAAAGGAAAAGUAAAGGGAGACUGCUGGAGCACUAGUUUUUUACUAACACUUCCGGUACGAAAAAGACCGGUAUUGCAUUCUAGCAGCCAUGGUGUACCGACAUGCUAUAAAAAAGUAUUUUUGGCAUAUUGUUACACGGUAGAAGCUUGUGAACCCAUCAAGUCAUGUAGGACAGUUAUUCAAAUUUCUACCGAUGCCAAAUUUUGCCUUAUAAAAAGAUAGAAACCGGCUUUUUAAAAAAAUAUAGAAACCGAUUACUCCAAUAUUCAAAGUUCACACCAUUUAUAGGAGAAGAAAAAGGACGCUACGCGGCUCCUUCUUCCCCAUCAAGAAAGAAAAAGAUCUCCCCCUCCAAAAUUAUAUAAACCCGCAACCAGCAGGGACCUCACUGAAAAUCCACGGCCGCAUCCAUCCCAUCCGUCCAUCAGCUCACGCCACCGCGAUCGGACGGCGCCUCCCCCACCUCAGCCAGACCACUCCACGCCACCAACCGCAAAUAAUUCGAAAUGGUAGGGGCAAGGAGGUAACUUCCCGUCGCCUCCGCCUUUUUUAUCUGGCUCCCCCACCUUCCUUCCCCUGGCCCAACGACGCCCCCAUUUCGGAGCUCCUCGCGAUUCCAAUCCCCGCACGCCUCCUCCGCCUCCGCGGCCGGCUCGCGCAGGGUUAGGGUUUGCUCUGCUCCCCAUCUCGCCCUGUGCUGUUUUUCUUUCCUGUGAGAUUUGGUAGGGAAGGCUUGAUCUGUUUCUUCCGGGGCCUGAUUCGGCGUCCCUUGAUCGUUCUGCGCGUUUUUCUUGUGAUUUUUUGGGGUGUCGAUUCGUUGGUGCGGGGGAUUCCACGGGCCGUGGAAUCGCGAAGGGAACGGGCGCUUCUUGAUUCGGUCUUCGAUUGGUGGUUUCUUCUGUUCAGGUGGAAGUCCUUUUGGGUGGGGAAAUGAAAACGCGUUCUUGUUUUUUUUUCUUAUUAUUUUUUUAAAUAAAAAUUGUAUGAAGGUUGUUUCACUUGGCCAAAUGAUUAGGCUUUACCUGUCUUUUUUUGUCUGAUUUUUUAAAGUUCGUAGCGCUGCUAAAUGUUACUAGUGAUUCAAGUAAUUUUUUCCGUGGAAAUCGUGCGUAUUUAGUUGCAAGCUGUGGAUUAGUUAAAUUACUUGGCAGAUUUGGUUUAUACUGUCCUCGAUUUACAUCACCAUGGUUUUUUUACAGAGAUUUGAAUUGAUAUACCCUAAUUCGUUUAGGAAUACCGUUUUGAUUUGUAUUACACAGCGUGUUUUGUGAUAGUGACUUCCGCGAUGCUCUCCCUAAAUAUUAGGAUCUUGUUUUGUGAUAUUUGCUGAAGUGACAAAUCGUGUGGUUAUUUACAUCGAUUGUUUAAUGUGCAGCUUAUAGUAGUCAUGGAACACAAGGAGGCGGGCUGCCAGCAACCCGAGGGCCCAAUCCUAUGCAUCAACAACUGUGGCUUCUUUGGCAGUGCGGCCACCAUGAACAUGUGCUCCAAGUGCCACAAGGAGAUGAUAAUGAAGCAGGAGCAGGCCCAGCUAGCUGCCUCCUCCAUCGAUAGCAUUGUUAACGGUGGUGAUGGUGGGAAAGGGCCUGUCAUAGCUGCAACCGCCGCGGUGGCGGUUGCUCAAGUUGAGGAGAAGGCAAUUGUUGUGCAGCCUCCACUUGUAGCUGAAACCAGUGAGGCUGCUGCUGUAAUCCCCAAGGCCAAGGAAGGCCCGAACCGGUGCGCAACCUGUAGGAAGCGGGUUGGCCUGACGGGAUUCAACUGCCGAUGCGGUAACAUGUACUGUGCGGUGCACCGUUACUCCGACAAACAUGAAUGCCACUUUGACUAUCGGACUGCAGCUAGGGAUGCGAUUGCCAAGGCCAAUCCUGUGGUGAAGGCGGAGAAGCUCGACAAGAUCUGAGAGGGGCAAUGGGGAGGGGGAUGGGUUGUGAUCUGCAAGAUUCAAUCAUGCAUCUUUGCUGCUUUAUCAUUGAACUUCCCAUUCUUGUUUGCUGCCACAUCCCUGAGUUGUUCAACACUGAGAUGCACAUGCAUCCUGGCAGCUGCAAGAAUUCAUCCCCAGUUAGAGUCCACAAUGGUUUGCGUGUUGGCUAUGUUGUGUAAGCUUAUUCAGUUAUUCAUGGUGGUUUCGGUCGGUAUUGUGGCAUUCCCAUUUACGUAGCUCUGUAAUGUACCACUGUCUCGUGCGUGUUACAUCCCAAUCAGUAAUAGUAAUCAGCAAUGGUCUGCCAUAGUUCCUCGCAAUUUUCUGGAUUGUUGUGGAUGGACACUACCGUUUUAAAAGCAUGUGGUAGUCGAGAGAGCUGUGAUUUGUAACAGGAUGGGUCUUGAUUGUUGGGUAUGCUGAUUCUGUAUUACAACAUAGUCUAUGCAAACGCGUACUUGGUGAAUGGUAUUAAUUCAUCAUCAUCUUUUUUGAAAAUCCUGUAUGCAAAGGAACUUGCUUGCAUGGGAACAUUUCACAAUUCAUAUCCUUCUCUUUUUCUAGUCUGUACAAGUGGGGACAUGCAGCUCUCCUUUUUACAUGUGAUUGGAACGAAGCCUAAUGAUUGGCACCUGCAAAGCAUUGGAACAAGUCUAAACAACUUGUUUUUGUAUGAUUGUCACUUGCAAAGAAUUGGAACAAGUAUAAACAACUUGUUUUUGUAUGAUUGUCACUUGCAAAGAAGAUAAUAAUUCGUUCGAAAAAAAAUUCUUCUGCAGGGGGCGAAUAUUUUUGCUCCUCAAUUUGUGGGUGGGUCUCUUUUGGACAUGAUGGGAACAUUGAGCAACUCUUCUGCCGGGUGUUGAGCUGCGAUGGAUUAAAGAAUGCAGGCAAUGAUGGAGAAGCCUGAUCGCCUUGAGAUUCGUUGUUUGUUUAUGAGAGAAUGGAUAGGAUCUCAGCUUUGUCGUCCUCAGCUCCCAUCCCAGUAGCUACAGUUGUAUUUUAUGGCAGCAACUGUUGUUACCUGCUCUGAUCAGUUUACUAUAAAACUGCCAUUAUAUUGUAGAGUAUGUAACAGCCUGAAGAAAACAGUUGCAGAGCUCAGCAGCCUCAACCAUGGGGAUUACCUAGUUGCAAAUCAGACACCCAAUGACACUUCUCUUUCACCCAGCCAGAAGUGAGCAACCCGGAUUCAGGGCAAACAGCAGAUCACUUCAGGACGAAAUGUUUAGCAACAACUUCAGUAACCGAGAUACAUAAGGUGAACAAACUCAUCAAUGGUGCCUUCAGCUGCGAAAAAUUCACAUAAUCUCAAGUAACUUCCUCACUCAAGAAAGGACCGAAGAAAUGUUGUGUGGAUUGCUCGGUAUUGCAGUAAGUGAAUGUAUAUGAGAGGGAUACACAUGAAACAGCUCAUUUCCUCUUUAAUUGCCUGUUCUAAACUGCAGUGUAUGAGAAGAAAGAGGCUGUGACUUAUUCUGUAUUAUUUCGACUCCAAGUGCAAAUUUGGGGACUCAGGCCCCAAUGCUGAAGUAAACCGUGUAGAAUUCGUCCCUGAAACUGUAAAGUGGCUCCAGGACGAAGUUCCUCCUCACUUUCUUUGCGACAAAGCUGAUUGGAUGGUACUGCCUCUGCGGGGAAGUCUGCACAAAGCUUGCCGCCUGCUCGAGUAUCCCACCAAUGCUCUGAAGAGAACUCUUGCAGCUGACCUGAAUCUUCGUCCCCGCAGAGUAAUCCACGCCUGUCACCAAGCUCGAGGGAAACUGAGUUAGGAUUUCCAUCAAGCCCGGGUACUAUGUUGAAGAGGGAAUCUGUGUUGAAGAGGGAAUCUGAACCCUUCUGAGCGGAUAGGGUGAGGUUAUUGGUGAUCACAGUUCCUGGCAAGUCAAAUGGCUCGAUCAGCAUGGAAGCUCCCUUCAUGGUUGUGCUGUAGAUGUCCUGAGGGUGUGCCCCGAAUGUUGUAUGGAUGGCGGUGUCAGUGUCGUCAACUUCAGGCCGUUGCAUUGUUAGGGAGCCAUAUGGCCUUGUGAGGACAAAUGUUUUCCCAUUGGAUACUUGUGUGAAAAGGUUACCAGCUGUGAGUUGUGCACUGAAGGAACAGUGGUGAUCCAAUCUGAAAUUGUACUGCUAUUGCCAUCUUUUGCAUCCCAGUCACCAGUGGAUAGGCCAGCAAGAACAAAUGGCCCAAAUAGGAUGGCUUGAAGGGAUGCAUACUCCGGCCUGUCAUAUGAACAGAUAGCUAGCAAUUAAUAUUGGAUCAAGUUCCUCAAAAAUACUUGGAUCAAGAUUCUCUAUACAAAAAUCUGAAUAUUAUCACACAUGGUAGCAAAAUCCGCUAUUUCUACUAGCGCCACUAUGUAUUUGUAGUACAAGCACUGGUUAUCAUGGUGGUAUAUCAGUGUGUGAGCCAAGUAAAGUCAGCCAAUUUAUUGUAUCCAUAAAGAAUGUUGCAAUUUGCUGUUUCAAAAAUGAGGCUUAUGGUCAACUUCACUCAAAUGGCAGAGAACAAAUGAUAAAAAGAAGACAGAAGCUGGUACAAAUUCAGACACGGAGAUGCAGAUACUCAUAGGCAAAAGACUAAAGUGGAUGUAAAGUAAAGAAGCAUAUAAAUCUAAACAGCUGUGCUAAACGCGCAUAAUGUGCAGCAUAUUUCAAAAAUUUGAAAACAGUUUAUCUUAAUCUAUUAAGAAUUUUAGCAAUAACUGUCGACCAUACAUGCCCAGACCCACCAGAGGGUCUGUACGGGCCCACUCAAGGGGACGUACUCGAGACGUAUCAGGACAUUAAGACUACGCUACAGGGCAACCUAGACUCCAUGGAACUCCUGAAAGGCUAGUCGGAAUACAAGGAAACUACUCUGCCGAGUUAGAGUAGGAGUCUAUAGUCUUGCCCGACUAGUACUCUUGUACUCAAAGCUACCCUGUAACCCUGCUCCCCGGAUAUAUAAGAGCGGGCAGGGACCCCUCCAAACAGGUUCAAUCGAAUACAAGCAUACAACACACAGGACGUAGGGUAUUACGCGAUUUAGCGGCCCGAACCUAUCUAAAAUCGUGUCCCUGCGUCACCAUCGACUCCUUGAAUUCGGCGACACCCACCAACCAAAACUCUAUCUCGGGUACUCUCUUGAUAGGUUGCCGAGUUAAAACACCGACAACUGGCGCGCUAGGUAGGGGUAGUCGCCGAAAUUCUCCACGUCAGAUCGAUGGCUUCAGUCAUCAUCAAGCCUGCGUUCAUGUUCGAAGCGGGCACAACGUUUGUUUCCAACGUCGCAUCAUCGAAGAACCGGAGAAAAAAUAUCUCGGCGGAAACUCUCGUCGACAUCAAGAGAAAAAUUUCAUCGAGAAAUUCGAAUUUUUCGAUCUCAAAAACACCGAGUUCGACCACAACUCGGAGUCAACUAUAACUCGGACUAGUCCGCGCGAGCAGGCAAUUCAGCCAUCGUGUGGACCGAAUACAACUUUAAGCCAAUUCCCGCUCGGACUCCGAAACGCGGUCACGAUUCAUCAAAAAACUCUAUCCAAAGUCCAGUCCGGAUUAGAGUCAAUUGAGGACCACAACUCCGACUCGAACUCUUUUGAAGAACUCCCCUUAUCAGGUUCACAACAGGCCUGGUAAUCACAUGAACACCGCAAGGCAGAUUCGUCUACUGGCCUGGCAUGAAGCCAUCAUUCCUUGCCCAAGACAAUGAAUCACGCCUCAUCGCACACCUGGAUAUCCUCCCAUAUCAAGAGGGUACUCCACUCUCACUGAUCCAUGAAGAAGAUGGUUCCACUGAAGUCAUAACAUCCAGCUCUGGAAGCUAUUCUCCAGAUAGAGAACUCUUUGUUGUGGUUUCGCCAAUUGAUGGAACGGGAACCAGCGAUCACCACCAAAGAACUCCUCGUCGGGAACGCCAAAUGGAAGAAGUCUCCCAAGAUGAAAAUGGAAUACUUCAACUCUGUAGUAAUAAGAUUCGCAAUGAAUUCACCUUGCAAAGAGGAUCUCCGGUAACUUCAUACCUCAUCUGUGCACCAAUGACAACUGGAAUGUGUGUAUUGGAAUGGAAACCUGAAAUGCUGUCAGCCUGAAAUGAAACAAAUACACAAACAAGGCUAUGACUAAACGAAAAAUCCCUCAAGACGAACAGUAAUUCUACUCCAUUGAUUGAGUCCUGCACUAGGAACCUAAGUUCCGUUUCCAUAAAAGUAUACACUGUACAUGGUAAUACCAGUUCAGUAGCGGCAUAAUCUAAAUCUGUUCAAUAUAUAGACAUGUAGUGACCGCCGGAUGAUAAGCAAAUUGAACUGAAGUUAGUAAUCACAAUUCUUAACAUAGUUAAAACCGAAACUGGUUAAGUUCUAUUUCAGUCAUUUAUUGUAAUGUAAACAUAAUCCUAGCUAUCACCAAAUAGCUGAAGAUUCACAACUAGCAAACCAAAUCAGUGUUUCAGCACACCUGAACUGCAAGCAGCCCAAGAAAGCAUGGCUUAUCGAAGAGAUGGGCCAGUGUCAAAUGCUUCAGAUCAUUCUGCCCAAUUAAGAGAAAGUAAGCAUAUCAGCUAGAUAUAACUGUAUUAAUCGAUGCUACACUUGUAACAAACGGCAAAUCACCGUUAUCGUGUAGAGCUGAUAGAGCACAUCAUUCAUCCCACCAGUUUCCUCAUUGAGAGACUCCCAGUGCCUCUCAAUGCUGUAUUUCUGUAUGACAUUCUUCACCCGAUCACUGAAAUAAUUAGUCAUCUUUACCACCAUGUCAAGAGCCUUGGAAUUCCCAGCCACUGUGUACUGAUAAAGAAGGCCUUGCAUAAUCUGUAAACCAAAAAUUACACCCACUCAGAUUGGUGAUAUCAUUCAUUCAUUCACAUAUUUAUCAUGAAGUAGAAACUGAAAACCCCCAUGAACCUUGUGGAUUGUGUAGUAAGGGGCCCAGGCCUGAUGGCCUCAACCCAAUCGAAGAAUUCUGACCGGAAGGCCGACAGGUACCCUGUGCCCAUCUUCUUCUGGCAAUCAUUGAGCGCGUCGACGACAGACGACAUUUUCACAUUAAGAGUAUCAUUGUGUGUGCUAGCCCACAUCUUUGCAGUAGCACUCAGGUAAUGCCCUGAAAAGAACAACAGCAGGACGCUGAAAUUCAGCCUAGCUGCGAAAUUGUAGUGGGUAAAUGCUACAGAAUCGAAACCAAACUGAGAUGCGGUGGCGCAUCAACAAAGUGUCCCCGGAGCUGGACGUUAGGGCCCUCCCACCCGCCAUAGGGCGUUCCCGGCCGCGACCCCGGGCCGCGGCGCGCCGGUGGUGGCGCCCCGGAGCUUGCGGUAGAGCGGGAGCCAGUCGAACACCUCCUCGCGCCGCAGCGCCCGCCGCGGCAUGAGCGACAUCCAGUUGGAUUCGUCGGUGGGGUGUUAGGUGCUGCUCGUGGCCAUGCAGCCAUGCUCAUGGCCGUGGCCAUGGUGGCCGGGCCCGGACAUCGGCUGCGCCGCCGCGCGCUCCGUGUGCGAUAUCAGCCCCGGGAACGCGUUGGUGCACGAAUUCCCCACCGCGCCGUGCCAGCCGGCGGCGGCGGCUAAGAUCACGACGGCCCCCAGCGCCGCUGCCGCCGCCAGCACGCCCGGCGCUCGCGCCAUAAUCCCCGUUCUUGGCAAGAACCAGUCGUUACCCACUUACCCUGUCCUCAGUUGACCCACACCCACCGCAUAAUUCAGCCAGAAUCCACCUCAUCACUUUGAUAAGAGGAUCUCCGAUGGCUCUCUAUUUGUUGCAAAAAAAAUUUGUAUCCAUUCCCCACUUUUCAAAUAUUCAACUCUCCCUCUCCACACACUGACACGUGGGUCCUACACGUCAUCCCCUUCCUCCCUCCCUCCUUUCCCUUUCUUCCCAUCCCCCUUCCCACCCCCUCCUACCUCCGCCAUCAAUUGGCGCCCCUCCCCGUCCUCCUCCUGCACCUAGGCCAUGGAGCUGCUGGCGCUAGAACUCUACCGGGAAGCGGCGGUGCGCGGCCCCCUCCGACGCCUACGCGGAUGGGAGAGUUGAUGAUGACGCCGAUGCGACGUGGGGAGGACGGUAGCGCUCGACGGGGGAGCUCGCCACCAGGAUCCGGGAGGCGCUUGACCUGGCGCGUCGCGCCACGGCAUCCCCACGGUGGAUCGAGGCCGCCAGCCGGCUCCUCCCCGUGCGGCCUUUGCUGCGCCGCCCCAUCCUUCCCGCUAGCUCCUCCCCGAGCUCCCUUUGCUCCGCCUCGACCGGUCGACGGUGGCGCGGCGACGGCUUCCGAGAGGAUGCGACGCGUGAGGGGAAGAUGUUGUGGCAGAUGUGGGGCCCACACUUGGCAAGACAGAUGGGAAGACAGGUUGGGUUGCCAAGUUUGGCCAGCGGGAGCGGGAGGAGAAAUUUGGCCAUUCAGAUGGGAUAGCAAGAAUGAUGGCAAGUCUGUUGGAGCAAGAUUUUCAUGGUAAGUUGCUAAAUUUUAAUUUAGUGAGUUGGAUAGCAACUCUCUUGGAGUUGCUCUAACAUGGAAGAGAGAAAGUGAGGAGAAAUAUUGUACUAUUUCAACUAGCUCAUAGAGAAAAAGAAAUGCACAUUUUAUUGAUGAGAGACAUGCUGCGGGAAUCAAAAUACUCUGAGCAAUAUGCUAUGAGACAACUAUUGAAGAGGUGGACAAGCUUCAAGCCAGUGCACUAGCUCAACUAUUGGAGUAGGCCUAGGUAGGCGUGUUGCACUGGCUCAACUAUUGGAGUAGGCCUAGGUAGGCGUGGAGGAGAGAGAAACAACUACAAGUGGUACAAUACGUAGCCCCUGUUGUGUUGGUCACCCGGUGCAAGGAUUAAAUAAAUAAUUUGAGUAAGAGUAUUGAAUGCUAUUCUUAGCAGAUGGGUGGACCGAUAGCUUGCUUGGCUGGGAAAAGUUGGAGAGACAUCUUUUUUAUCACUGUAGGAUCCACCUUAACAUGAACUAAACAAGUCUAAAUGUUGCGACUUGUUUUGCUAAACCAGCACCCUAUGACGUGUCUACACUUGCCCCUUACUUAACAAAAUAUACACUAAAACUGCUCUAACAGAUCAUGCCUUCUCCGUUUGAGCUAUUUUACGAUACACAAUACUAGGUUAUACUAGUAUUUAAAAAAACUAGUAUAAAAAUAUUCGACAGUUAGAAUUAAUUAUAUACUACUGGAAACUCAGCUUUUCUGAGCUUCUGGCUCUCCGAAAGCUGCACCAGAAUUUCGUUGUUUAUUUGAGCAUCUUACUUUUUACACUGAGAAGACAAACAAUGAGAAUUUUGUUGUUUAUUUGAGCAUCUUACUUUUCACACUGAGAAGACAAACAACGCCUUAUAGGACCGAGAGUGGCAACAUGUCAGCCAUGAUGUACCUCAAAUGGACCUUGAGGCGAGACCAAUAUCUCCCCCAUCCAAGAACAGAGGGUGCUCGAGCUCUUCCAGAUACCUAAUAAGCUCCCUACGAUCUUUGUGAAACCACACAAGAUACCAAACAAAGGAUAUUCAAGGCUUUGAAACUGAAAAUCAAAAGAUUUUCCGGGCGAAAAUGGGUACGGUAACCAUCUUAUCAUCCUUGAAGUCGGCCCAAGCUUUUGACUACUUUCCAACCCAAUCAUUGUCGAUCCGGCCCAAAUCUAGCCCACCUCAGGUCUCUCGUUCUCGCCGCCGCCGCCUCGCCACCGGGCCCACCUUAUCCGACCGCCACGUACCCGUUGCACCACUCUGCUCUCCCUGCUCCCCGGGCCCCACACGUCAGCCUCGGGGCAUCCGCCGCCGAAUCAGAUCCGAGAGCGAAAGCGAAGCCACGGCGCCGUCCCUCCCCGUCCCCGCGGGCCGUCGCCCACCGUUUCUUCCUCUUCUGCUUCGGUUGCGCCGCGCACAAGAAAUCCGUGCAGCUCCUACCGGACCGUGGAGCCCCACGCGACCCAGCUCCCCACCCGUGGCCGCGCCCGCCGCCUUCCUCUCGCCGCCCCGGAUCCAGAGAGGUAAUUUUUGGCGUGGUGCUUUCGCUCGUGUUGCGCGCCCCCGGUCCUGUCGCGGCAUCCGGCGUGGAUCUUGGCUCGGAUUGUACCCUGCAGCAAAAGGAAGGGUUACGAGCUGGGUUCGCGGUUUCCUCCUCGUCGUCGGCAGGUUCAUCCCAAGGUUCGGCCUUCUGGACGCCUCGUAUUUUCGAAAUUGGUGUGAUGAUUUGUUUCGUGCGCGCUGGGAGGAGCGCAUCUGAGCACCUGCAUUGCAUGUUCACGAGGUUUGUUGGAGAGCUUAAUUGGAUUUAUUCUAGAUCUACCACAAUUAGAUGCGUUCAUCCGUGGAAAACAUUGUUGUUUUCGUUUCCCUGGAUGUCUAGCCUGUGGCUGCUAUACUUGUAUGCGAUGAAAUGAUGGUACAUUAUCCUGAAUUUCUGGCAGGCUACAUGCCAUCAAGUGAAGAGUGAACUGUAAAAUUCUCUUCUCCUGGAAAUGGAACACUAGCUAACUAGUUAUCCAGUUCUGAUAUGCCUUUGUUAAAUUUAGCCAUCAUAGCAUCUGUUAUGGGUAGUUGAUAUGUCCAGGAGCAUUAUGGGUAGUUGAAAUGGGUCAAUACAAGCAAACAUGUUUCGAAUUAUCAAAUGAAGAAGACUCCCAUUUACACAAUGUUUUCCUUUUUACAUCUAGUAGUUUGAAUCUCUAAAAAUGUAUCAUGGUCAGGUCAUCUUCCUAUUAAGAAAUAUUCGAAUUCAUUUUUUGUGGUUGGCUUAGUAGUUAGUAUUCAUUAAGGGUUGAUUGGUUGGUCCAAUUUCAGAACUCACUACUUAGCUUGCCCCUUUGGAGUUCUCUACUCUGAUCAUGGUUUUUGAUUCUACCCAAAUCUGGACUUUGCUUUUGUAGCUCACUGUUCUACAUAUUUGUUGAAUGGUUACUUCGUGUUGCUAUGCCCUAUCCAAAAUUCAAACUACUGGUCUUAUCUGCUUUGAAAUAUUCUUGCUUCAAAGUUAUCCAAAUUAGUGAGCCUCUACUGUGAUAUGCUGCAGACCAUUUUUCUUCUGUGAAGUGGUCCAGGUACAUUGAAUCUCCUACAGUAUGUUUAAACCUGGAUUCUUGUUAAUUUUGUGUUGCAGGCAUAUCUUGUUGCCCCUGAUUUUAAGUUAUACAAUUAAGGCCAGAAAAAUCAGCUUUAUUCAACCAGUGAUUGGAUAUGGUAUCAGUUAAUCUUGGUUUAGUACAUUAUGUACUGGACCACAUAUAUGGAACUCUUCUUCAUCGCACAAAGUUAGGAACACCAUUUUUCUCAAAAGGAUGGGGAGGUACCAAACUUGAUUUGCUAGAGAAGAUGGUGAAGCAGCUAUUCCCUGAGGCACGUUGCCAAAACUGGCCACCAACUGCUGUGCAGCCAAUGUGGAAAACAGUUUGGGAGACAAACAGUUCUUGUCUGCGAGAGGGUGUUUUCAGGACUACAUGUGAUGAGAGACUAAUCGACGCAUUGCCCCCUGAGAGUCACAAUGCAAGAGUUGCUUUUCUUACUCCUAAAAAUGUUACACCAGAGAAGAUGUCAUGCGUGGUCCAUCUUGCAGGUACAUGAUUUUGUGGUUUCAUUAACAUUUGUUUCCUAAUGCAUUGCAUAGAUUAGGAAAACCAUUUUCUGAUCUUGGCUUGUAUGCAUUUCAAUCAUUUUUUGUUGUGCUGGUAGAACAGAAUAUGAAUGUAUGAGUCUGCUGGCUUUCUAGCACUGCAACUUUAACAUUCCUCUUUGACAGCUUCCCUAUCUUUUUUUUUUCAAGAUAAAAAACUUUCCUCGCUGCCAAGUGCUAAAAUCGAACAAGGACUAGUCUCUUUUUACUGUUAGUUUCAUAUUGAUUGAUGAAUAUUGUCACAAAGUUGUUCAUUCUCAAAAAUCCGUGCCACUUUUUUCCUAUAUGUCUCUGCUCUCAUCUAAUGAAUCAAUCUAAAUUUUCUGUAAUAAUAUAGGCACUGGUGAUCACACAUUUGAACGCAGGCUUCGGCUUGGUGGGCCUCUUCUGAAGAACAAUAUUGCAACUAUGGUUCUUGAGAGGUGAGAGUUGCUUGCAUUCUUUGCUAAAAUAUUUUUCUCCACAAUUGACCAAGAUCUGAUAUCCAUUGAACCACAGCCCCUAUUAUGGACAGCGACGUCCUAGCAUGCAGCGUGGUGCAAAGCUCCAGUGUGUGAGUGACUUGUUACUCUUAGGGAAAGCCACAAUUGAUGAAGCUCGCAGUCUCCUGUACUGGCUGCAGACUGAGGCUGGUUAUGGCAAGAUGGGCAUAUGUGGGCUCAGCAUGGGUAUGUUAAUACUGGUUUUGCUCAUGACUGAAUGUAGCUAGUCUUAAAAAUAAUGUAGCAGCCUAUUUGUCAAAGCCAUCUGAUUCUUAUAAUUUUCUGGUUAUAUUUACAAGAUUCCUUGUACAUUCUUCUCAAAAAGAGUUCUUUGCUGAUGACACAGGUGGUGUGCAUGCUGCGAUGGUGGGAUCCCUUCAUCCUACACCAAUUGCUACACUACCAUUUCUCGCUCCACACUCUGCUGUGGUACCUUUCUGUGAAGGGGUCUACAAAUAUGCCACAGCUUGGGAUGUGUUGAGAGAAGAUGCAGCAGCAUUAACUCAAGAUGUAACAUCUUUGACAGAGGAUGCAGCACAGAAAACUGGGGUCACUAUUGAGCAAGUCAGAGAUAGGUUGCGGUCAGUGUUGUCUUUGACUGACGUCACUCGAUUUCCAGUCCCAAAGAACCCACAGGCUGUCAUCUUUGUUGGUGCAACGGUUAGUGUUGCUCUACCGAGCUUUUUAUGACCUCUCAACAUUAAUUUAUAAUCUCUGAAAACAUGAUUGUUUUCCCCUUGAGUCUUUUACUUUGUUUCACGAUUCUGACAGUAUAACGACCAUCAGAUUGUAUCCAUAGUUGACUGGCUAUUUUACUACUAUUACAGUGGAAGGACUUUUGAAUUAACUCAAAAUAUGUCUUUUACCCGCACUGUUUACAGGAAGUUCUUUUUUGAGUUUUAAGACCACACUGUUUACAGCAAGUUGCCAUAGAGCUCCGUCAAUGUUCAGAAAUUGAAACUUACAUUGAUAUAUAGCAGAUAGUUUACUCCAGCACUGUUAUCUUUUGAAGAUUGGUUAAGUUACCUCCUCAUUUCAGACAAAGGGAUUGCUUCCUUGAGUAUUCUUAUUCGGCUGGAGCUUUCUUCUAUUCUGAAGCUAUGUUCUCUUUACAGGAUGACGGUUAUAUUCCCAGACAUUCAGUCAUGGAGCUUCAGAAGGCAUGGCCAGGCUCCGAAGUCCGGUGGGUAACAGGAGGCCACGUUUCAUCCUUUUUCCUCCACAACGACGCGUUCCGCAAAGCCAUCGUGGACGCCCUUAACAGAUUGUAGCACCGAGGGGAAGUCAUCAUUGUGAUGCCAGUUUAUAUUGUGUGACUGUUCUGAACUUGGGGUUGCGAAUUGCGGCAUCAGCUGAACCCACAACCGUAUGCCAUGAUAGGCACACCCUGUGCUGAAGGGUUUUGGUAAAUGACUAUUUGUUGUAGCUUAAUUGUUCUGCUUCGCAUGAGAUCGGAGGGAGGCUGGUUGUACAUCAGAUAGCAUGUAACACCCCAUUAUUUGGCAGUAGUUCUGCAAUAAUUUAUCCUGUCACCAUUUAUCAAUCUUCUGAGUGUCUGACAUGUCAACACUGGCUGAAUCAGCUUGGCAAUUUGGCAGUUUCAAUGGUUAUUCCUUCCUAUUUCCUAAUGCUGAAUCAGCUCCUAUGUAUACAUAGUUACAUAUAUAUAAAUACUCCUAGAACUGAUGUCAAAUAGUCGAGAAAUGGGUCAUCUGAAUUCCUGAUCACCUCUAUACGCAUCUCUGAAACUAUCCCAUAUCACUUUCCGGAGGCUGCAUCUAUAGUAAGCCACCGGCCCUACUACUUUGGAAGGGUUGUCCGUGGCUGGGCCCCGCCGCCGGGAUGGUCGCCACCGGCUCGUGGCGCGGCCGGGUGUGCCAGAGCUCGCUGAGCGCGCGGAGGCGGUGGGAGUAGUCGGCGAUGGCGAGGAAGCACCGCGCCGCCUGCCGCGCCGUCAGGAUCUGCGGCAGCCGGUGCAGCGCCUGCAGCCUCAGCGCGUCCGCCUGCAAUAACGUAACCAUUCACCAUUUCUGCAACCGAUUCAUAUAUAUAUAUAUUAUAUAAAUAAACAUGCAGAGACAGAUGGGCGCAGCUUGCUUGCCUGCCUGACGAAGGCUUCGAGGGAGGCGAGCUUGGCGAUGGCGAGGGACAUGGUGGCCAUGUAGCCGGGCACGUCGGAGUAGGGGCAGAGCAGCGCCGCCGCGUCGGAGGAGACGGCCUCCGAGACGGAGCGGUGCAUCGCCUGCAGCUCGUGGUCCAGCGCCGCCUCCGCCUCCCUCGCCCACUGCUGCACGCCGCAGACGCCCAUCGCCUGCGGCUCCGUGAGGGGCUCCGCGUGCCGGGCGGCUACCUGCGGAGCAUGCGUGCAUGCUAGCUAAUCAACAAUUCAUCCUUUCUUUUCUUUUUUUUUUCGUUGAGAAAUUAACAAAAACUGGUUGUCACUUUGUCAGAGUUUGCAAGCACUACCCUGACUGAUUUGAGCUGAAAUUUCAACAAAUUAACCAUGAACAAAGCAUAUGAAAUUAAACUAUAAACCUAAUAAUAUAUACUAUAUUUUUUUUCUAGAAAAAGGUCUGCCACGCAAGUCGCGCUUACAUGUCUCGUGAGAUCUUCGCCUACACACUAAGGUGGUAAUAUGAACUUUUUCCGAACGAGACAUGGUUGGUCGUUCACGUGAUCGAGUUACAUGUUGACAAAACCUGAGAUUUUAUUUCCUGAACUCGUUUUUUCCAAUGUCGACUCCAACCCCUUCUAGAAGCCGAAACAAAAGGCAUACAUGUGUUAAGCACGUCCUUUGCAUUGUUGUAGGUAAGUUAACCAUCCCCGUCUCCAUCUCCUAUCUAACCUACUAUCCUGUUGCAGUUGCAGAAAGUAACAGUCACAUAUAGUAGUAGCUGAUGGCUGCUAGUGUACUAUAUAGGCAAAGUCCAAAGACAAUUCCAAAGGCCCAACUGUUCCAUCAACUGGGACCUCUGACCUACCUAAUCAGCUAUCUAAUCCGUCAUGUACAUCUGUGACCUGUCCAUGGAUACCUCUACCUAAUGAGUAAUGUCUGUACCCAUUGUUAUAACCAAACAGUACUUGGAUCCUUAAUUUUUUUUUAGUGCAUUUGUGUUUAGUAUCAUAUCAUGUAUAAUUGUCCUACAUCAGGAUGUACAGGAGAAGCCUGUGUACAUGCACAUUUUCACUCACGAGUCGUGAGUCGUGACACAUGCAUGCAUGCUUGCUUGUACAUGGCCAAGGACAGGCAAGAAGGCAAGAAACGUGUGCCUGUGCGUGUUUGGGUCAAAAUUAAGUCACGCGAUGUACUUAUGCUAUAAUUAUAUUCUGUGGACUUGGUUUUCAGCUCAUCGAUUAAGAAGUAGUAGUUGGUCAGGAGAUAAGUAGAGCACGUGAGCUCAUGCUUACAGAAACUUGAGCUCAGCGUUUAAUUCACGGUGUGGUUAGUUAUAAUGAAAUGAAGCAGUGGCAUGCAGUUAAAAGUUGUUGGAGCUCAGAUCACCUUGAUGAGCUCCGAGGGGCGGAAGCCGCCGAUCCAGAGGAAGCAGCGCUCGGCGGCGGACGCCCACGCGCCGGACACGAGGUGGAACGCGUCGGCGCUCGCCACGGCGGCCUUGAGGUCCGCCAGCACGCCGUGGUGCGCCGCGGCCGCGUCCACCAGCUGCCGCAGCUGCGCGUCCGCCGCCGGCGCCGGCGCCGGCGCCGCGGGGUGCUGCUGAUCGGCCGCCUCCAGCGCCGCCCGCAGGUGCCGCAUCAUCUUGCCGUGCUCCUCCUGCCACCGCGCGUGCUCCAUGUCGAACCAGGCCGCCUCUGCGAACAAUUGCACAAGAUCACGACGAUGCAUGCAGAUUAAGCAUGCACGUAAACGUCCAAGGUGCGAUGUAUGAGCAGUUUAGGUAGCUAGGGUUUAAUAAAUUGCAUGCCUGGGCUUAGUCCGCCAUUGCUGCCAGAAAGAGCUCCACCACCAAACACUGCUCCCUGGAUGAUUUAUAUUUGGCGUCAUGCAUGGAACAAAUUAAACUCAAUUAGUCCGUAAUAUGGAACAAUAAUUUCGUUUAAGCUUCUGUUGCUCUAUUUUUUUUAAAAAAAAAAUGCAGAUUCUAGUAAGAUAACUGUUCCAAAAAUUAGGUCUAUAUUUUUCUGCAGCCCUCCUGCAUGUUAGUAGUUCUAAAAGUUGGAGUACAAACAAGGGUAAAGAUAGCUGUGUAGUUUUCCUUUUUUUUUAAAAAAAAAAACUAGACCAACCUCAGAAUGAACUAGGGGGCUUUAUAUUAAGAAGAAGAAAAAUAUGCACCCAAAUUCAGCUCGGUGAGGAUUGAUCAAACUUGGGUGGUCUAGCGUCCACCCUGCAUACCUGAUUUCUGGAUCUGUGCAACUCUUGUUCCAGCUGGGACAGCCUAAUCCUGCUUGUCUCUAGGUUCUGAAUGUAGGCCUACGCUUGGAGACAGAGACAAAUCACAUAAAAAAGGAACAUUAAUCAUACAUGCAGGUCAUGGAAGAGUGAUUUUAUACGACAUAGAAAAUUAAGCAGAUAUAGUUGUUGAUAAAUCCAAACUUUUCCCAUUUCAUUGGUUUUCCAGACUCACUCUAUUUUUUGGUUAGGUAGUACACAGGAUGAAAUACCUUCUUUCUGAGCCUGCUUUUCCUUGCCGCCUCCCUGUUCUGAGCGAGCCUUCUCAGCGUCUUGGCGUCCGGCGUUCUGGGGCCCUCCUGUUGGUUCGAGGUCGACGGCGUCCCGCUGCCCGUGGCGGCACCGCUGCUCCCUUCUCUCUGGCGACGACGACGACGACAUUAUGGACGCGUCAAGCACGAAGCACAAGGCACAUCAAACAACACUCGAGAGCACAGAAAUGCAUGCCUUGACGCCUGCCGGCUUGCCGUCCUUCAGCGCUGCCGGAGUCGGCCUCGACGGGUGGUUGGAUGGCGGCGGCGGCUGCUUCGAAGGGCCGGCGCCGGCGAUCGGCGCCGUGUUGCUAGUCCCCAUGGAUCCCUGCUAAAAAGAUCAUCAGAGCAUCAGAAGCAAGAUAGGGUUUCGUGUCAAAGAACAAAAAACCAUGCAUCCCGGCCAUCAUGUACCUUUGGCGCAGGCUCGGCGAUGUGCAUUGGCUGAGAAGGGAAGAUGUUGAGAGUUUCUGCACAGUAAUGCGCGCACAUUAUAUUCAUGAACACCAUAUUAUCUAACUAUACUUCCUCUACGUCCGUUUAGGACAAAUAAAGUAGAAAAUGUCAUAUACUCCAUCCGUUUCAAAUUGUAGGUCGGCUUUUCUAAAUUCAUAGAUAUUAGUAUGCAUCUAGACAUACAUUAUAUCUAUAUGCAUAAUAAUAGCUAUGAAUCUAGAAAAACCAAAAUAACCUACAAUUUGGAACGGGGAAGUAUUUAAGAAUGGACGGAGUGUAUAAUAAAAUAAGGGAACUAGAACGUGCACAAACAAUACAUGUGUACAUGUACAGUGAUGUUAGGAGUCCAACAAAUAUGUGUCACUAACUUUCUACAAGUAGUAGUUAACAACAUAUCUAUAUGGAAGGGCUCAGUAUGAACAAAGGGGAAAUGCAAGCGUGCAUAUGCAUGGUUGUUGGAAAUAUCUAGAAAAGUGGCGAAAUAGCAAGCUGUUUGGCCAAUGAGAAAUCACAUCCCUGCCUAACUGCCUUGUUUGAGCAGAAAAUGACCCAGAAUGUACACACAUACAUGAGCAGGUGUUUGUUACAUGUCACUCUCCUCUUGAGCUAGCAGGGAUUCUUUUUUUUUCUUUUUCCGAAAUUAUUUUUUUGUCAGACAGAACAGGCUUUGCAGACAAAAAAGAAGGAAAAAAGAUCGAGAGGUUUGAUCGGCAUUGUCGCGCAUCUUUGCUCCAUACUCGUGUGACCAUGUCCAAUCAGCAGGGUAGAUGCAUGCAUGACUAGGUGACAUGUUUAAUUUAUUGGGAAUGUAUAUAUGAAGCAACAAACAAAGUUUAUAUGACAGGGAAAAAGUUUAUUCCCUCUGGACCAUUACAGCUAUAUUUAUAUAUAUGAAUAUAAUUAGAUUGCAUUAUUGAUUGUGACAUUACCAAAAAGGAGCCCGGAGUUAAGUAUGGCUUACGACUUACGAGGCUGAUCUUGAUGAUGAGCAGCUGAUGUUUGAUCCUGGCUGUUGAGGUAGAGGAAGAGGGCUUGAUCGAAUUCCGCCAUGUCGUAUCCCCCUCCAGGUUCCUUUCUGCUGCACUUGCACAAGUUAAUACACACAAAAUUACAAGAAUCGAUAUGAUUGGGUUAGUUAUUACUAGUUCCUGCAUAUUUUAAGAUUUAUACAUAUAAAAAUCGUGUACUCCACAGAAGGGGAUAAAAUGAGAAGGAGAUAGAUGUCUGAGCAAGCUAUCGGAUGCUGAACAAAUCGACUAGAAAUGCUCCCAAGAAUCCCAUACAAAAGCUUCUGAUAGUCUGCAUUGGUUACACCAUCACAUUCUCUAAACAUACGUCAUGAGUAGUGAAUAUUACACAUGCAAGUACAGAGACACUUUAAAGCAUGAAUCAUUUUCAAAUUAAAUCAAGCCCAAACUUCAUUCAUAAUCUCCAGAAGUAUAAAGUAUAAGAGAGAUAACUGAUUCUUUAUAUGUGUUUUCCAAAUCAGGCCUGGGUAGCUAGUAGCUAGCUAAUUACAGGAAAACAAUUCCCAAACCAAAGCAAACUAAUAAAAGCACAGGCCGAAAAAACUAAUGAAAAUCAGAGAAAACUGGGAGCCAUAAAGCACGUAUUGAAGAAAGAUUCAUGUGCUUCAGAAGAGGAAAGACAACUAAUAAGCAAGAAAGUAGAGCAAACUUCAAUUCUAUCUAUUUGCAAGAAAAUAGAGGAAGACUUGAUUCUAAACAUCUAUGUGUGUUAGGGUUUACAUGAUACCGCCAUGGGCGGAGGAGGAAGCAGCUUGGAUCAUCCCUGCGUGUGGAUAGGAAGCCUGCUCAGGUGGCUGCUGCCAUGGCCUAUCCCCCAUGCAUGCAAUCACUUGCCUAUAUGCCAACAACCUGCAUGCACAAGCCGCUACCUGUCCAGAGGCAGCUUCUUGAUAACCUUAUCGGAUCCUCUCGGCUCGGAUGUCUCCCAACUGGACUGAAGCUAUAGCAGGAAAGAUGAUUCAAAAAUGAGCUUCAAUUCUUCACAUCCAAUUCCAAUCUGCGAGAAUUGAAGAUGAUCGGUAGACGCGCGUCGCCGCUGUUCUUUCUUCCCCCUUCCUUCUCCUCUUUCUUCUUCCUGGCCGGCUAUAUGUCUUCUAUGGCUUCUUCUGACCGGAAGCUAGCAAAAAGUAGGACUUGUAGCCUGGUUGAGGUGGAGUGCUUGCACAAGAAAUAUAAGGGAGUGGUUACAAACCAUGGAAAAAGCUAGGCACAAUAAUUGGACUUUUUUUUAAAAAAAAAGGUAGAAUACGAUGGGUGUCGUUGGAUCCGGUCCGGUAGGAUGACCGGUCUCGGAGCAGUUAGUUUAUAUUGAUUUGCCAAGCUAGUUGAUCUAAUGUUUCAUCUUGAUUUGAUCCAAGUCAAUUUUAACAAACCAAAAAAAAAAAAUCCAUGGCCAGCUGGGGCAUGUUCAGGAGAGACAUGCUACCAAUGCCAAGUGCUUGUUAACUUCUGGGGUUUUGGCAGGAUUUAUAUGGAGAAUCAAUUUGGGUCCUGGAAAACGAACUUUGGUUUCGACCAUUUAACAGUGCAUCAGUUACAGGGUUACGUUUGAUGUGUGAAAGGAUUUGAUGUUUCUUUGGUUUACGCAUGGCGCACACUCUGUGUAUAACAAGAGCUCUGUGACUGACCAACGUUUUAAGGGCAAAAAGGUGAUCAUGAUAUCCUAACUAGAAACAAAUUAAAGGCAGAUUCACAAACAGUAUCUGAAAUCAAGUAGCAUUCAGUCCCAAGCCACAACAAAAAAAGGUUUCUUAUAAGAAACCUAGAGAAUUCGCCCAAAGCUUUUCAGGAAAAGUUAGACCAUGAAAAGUGAAAUUGAAGAAAGUGAGAUCACUAUAAAAGAAGCAUCAUUGUAAUAUACCUUUAUAUAUAUAAUAAGAAAAAAAUAAAAGUAAUAAUGUAAUACGACAGAAUAAAUCAGUUAUCUUUUAAUUUUCCAUGGUAUAAACAAGUUCCCGACACUUAUCAAACACUUUGUCUGAUGUUUGUUAAGCAUCCAAAAACAGCGUUUGCCUUUGAUUCCCCGACCAGCAGUGCAUCUGUUCGGUUACGAACCUGCCGGACAACGCCAUCCAGCUAGCCGCCACGUACGUUGCCAUGCAGCGUGCAAAUGAUGCAAUAAGUUUGGACCCGUUGACUAUGCGUCGCGCGCAUUUGCAUGAUCUAUGCGUUGCAUCUUCAACAGCCCUAAAUAAAAUGAAAAAAAAUAAUAAUGACGCUGAAAAAUUAAUGUAUCGGAACUAGAGAUCAGUUGGAACAAUAAUAAUACAGCUUUUGAUGCUUACAGAGAGAUCGACAAGGAAAAGCAUCUUAGAGAUAUAAUAUUCUCUCUCUCCGUUCCGAAUCGCAUGUCGUUUUGGUAUUUCUAGAUGUAAUACGUAUCUAUGUGUAGCAAAAUUUGUGUAUUUCGAGAAGUCAAAAUCCUCCCAAACAUUAAAAUGAUAUCCAGAAAGGGCAUCUUUUCCAAUCAGUCUUUUUGUUUUCGGGUCACAAAAUGCAUCACGGUCUGUCUUCUGGACAAAAGGAAUAUGAAUGCUGCAUAUAUAAAACAUGUGGAUCUCCUAUUUGCAGGGUUCGAGAGAAAUUCCUCUGCGUUGAUAACUUGAUAUCAUAUAUAUACAGCCAGCAGGUCGCCAGCCGAAUCAAUUUGAUUUGACUCUGUUGGAGACUUUUUACACGGAUGGAAAGCAGUGGCCUCCUCUCCUCUGUGCGUGUGCCUGACGAGUUCACGCCGUGGGCCCUACACAAUUGAUUGACAUCGACCGUACACGAUGCUGCCCCGUGAGCCGUACGGCCGACACGUCGAGAUCGAUAUCAGGUGAUCAUCAAAGGGGGCUGGUGACCUCAUGCUGACCCUAUCAGCUUGUGAUCAUCGGCCAUUCCAUGCGCUGUCAUUUUAUUGUCUUGAACCGAAUGCUAGCUCUGAUGAAGUUGUUGCGAAACGUCUCCAGUCUCCACCAAACGAGACAUGCGUGUUCGGCUAGGCGACUCAUAGCGUGGGAGGCGCGGCGCACAUUUGGAAAAUGCACACCCACCCUAAGGCCUAAGCUCAGGAAGAGUCUUGGGAACACGGCUCUGAUCAGUUGUUUUUGUUAGCACGUUACUAUCUCUGCAGCUAAAAAAACCAAAACCGAGUCAAAAUGUCGAAGGUUUUACGCUCUUUCGAUUCGCGCUCCAGGCAAUUAGCGCUGUCUGUGCGCGGGAGUUGCAGCGACGGAAUCCCGAGCGCCCUACGAUCGAACGAGAUGACCCCCACGAACGUCCCUGGCUGCGAGCAGCCGAUCGUAGGCCCUUUUAUCGCUCUGUUCCUUCUCUCUUCUUUCCCCCCGCGCCUCCUACCCUCACAUCGAUCCCUUCUGCCGCCACCGCAGUCCACCACUCCAUCCACAGCCGCGACCUCUUCCUUACGCCAACAUCACCGCCGCCGCUCGUCGGUUUAAUCUCUGCGUAAAUCUCGCUGUAGCCUCUGUACCUUUGCGAGGAGUGGAUGCGGUGGUGGCGGCCAUGACCUGAUCCACCCGCGACGCCACAACCCAUUGUGACAUUCAAAUUGAGAUCCCCUUUGCGUCCUCAUUCUUUUUUUGUGUUUUUCGUAGAAAUCUAUUGCUUGUAGACCUUCCUAUGGUUUCUCCGGCGAAACUCCGGCCAUGAACGGUGAAGCUCAUUCAAGGCGCCACCACGUGGUCGCCGUCACCCUGGAUGGGAGCAAGAAGAUGGAGAUACGGCCUUCAGAUUCAAAACUGACGGCUUAGAUCAUAUAGGACUCGUACCCCUUCGCGUGUACGUGGUGCACCGUAGACCAUACACAAGCACCCCCUCCGUGGAUUCCGUAGACUGAGUCCAUGAGUCCUAGGAUCCCAAAAGUCCAUCGCCGCUGCCGCUGCCUCCUGUGCCUUCUUUCACUCCCCCACAUGCCACCAGUCCAAGCCCCCUCCCCCUCCCUCCUCCACCCUCCGCACCCGUAUCGCCGCCAUGUCCUCCUCCUCGGUCGCCGUCCCGGUCGAGCACAUCGUGCUCCUCAAGGCCCGCCCGGAGGCGGUCCUCUCAGGCGUCACCACGACGAUGGUCUCCUCGCUGCAGGCGCUCACCAUGCAGGUCCCCGGCCUAGCCUAUAUCCACACGGGCCAAUCGCCAAUCGCUGCCGCGUCAAUGUCAUUGGAGCUGAGGGCUGCCGUCCUUCGCCUCCCCGUGACCAAGAUCGCCUAGCCCGACGAGAUGAUGACCGUCACUUUGCAGUCGUCACGAGUGGGUAGCAUCACCUUCUUGUCCACCUUGAUAGGGGCGGAGCCAGGAUUUGAGGUAAGGGGGGCAAUGGACAAAGCAACGUUUAACUGAUAAUCAUGUGAGCUGGUUUUAGUCACAUAUAAUAAUAUAAUAAUAGCAUGUUUCACAAGUCUUAACCAAAAUAAAAUUACAUAUCUAUGAACUUAAAUUUAGCUCUUCGACUAGCAGCAAGAUCGUACAUUGUAAUAAUAUUAUCAGUACUUAAAUUAGAGAGGGAAAUUUAGAAUCACUAGUGACUGUUAAUUAGAUAAGAGAAUAUUACUGGAUGAUUUAUGAUUAUGGAUUACAUGCGGACAGCAGCAAUCUGGCGCAUGGCGAAGAAAACAACGAGUCACGUCAGUGAUCAGUGAGACGCAAAAAAGCAGCCUACUUUGUGCACGAAAUUCCGGUCAUCUGUUUUGUGCAAGAAUCCAUCCGCUUUUGAGACAUUCAAUUGGAUUGGAAAGAAAAUCAUCUGUACAUGCACCAUGAAAGGCAUGAAACACAUAAAAAAAAUGCAUCAAACACAUUAAAAAAUCCCUAAGAUCUGUAGCCUAGAAAAACGAACCACAGUCGACGGUCACCACGGGGGUUACUGCGAGGGAUCGUUUUCUCCGAGGAAAGUAAUCAUACUCGAAUUCCUCGAUUAUUAUCUGUUUCCACUGCAUUGUGGCAAAACUUUGGACCUUCAGGUGACUACUACUAGCACCAACAUCAUCUAAGGGAGGAGAAUGGAGACUGCAUUGAACGGUUGUGACAUGUCCAGGCAUUGCCCUGUUGCAAGGUUUCUUUAGUUAUUGACGUGCGAGAAUUUGAUGGUGUUUGACAAACAGGAUAUGCCAAUGAAUAUGACGAUGUAGGGAAUCCAGGAUCCAAUUUUAGGCUAUUAUCAUAAUCUGAAUACAAGGUGAAUCUUAUUAUCAUUCUGAUAAUAGCAAGUUAGGUUGUUGCUACUGAUGGGGUAAGAAAAUAAAUCUCCCAUAUAGUUGUCAAUGUUAUGCCUUUUCUUAGGUGGUGUUUGGAUCCAACCCUAAAGUUUAGUCCUUAUGGGGUGUUUGGAUCCAACAGCUAAAAGGUAGUCUUCCUUGAGGUAAUGACUGAUUUGCCCUCAUUUAUUGAUUCAAACAACAUGCAUGUCUCAAAUUCACUCCAUGCACAUGCACAUGCACGCCCAUGCACAUGCACACUUGAGUAUUUUGCUUGGCACAUGCACACUUGAAAAAACAACUUGCUCCGGCCAUGCACAUGCACACUCGAAGAUACACAUGCACCUGUAUCUGUGCAUUAUUCCGGCCAUGCAUAGGCGCCGGCCAGGAGGAACACGUUGCUGUUCCUUCUGGACAUUCAAUAGUUUUAAUUCGUUCAAUUACAUCAUCGUUCAACCAUACAACUCCUUAGUCCUAGGCAAUACAAGAAAUCAAAAACUCUACGAUCUAUUAUACAAACUUGAGGCUAUUUGAUCACGGAAUGCAUUCAUAUUUGUAUCUUCGUACCUUGAUUGAGUAUUUUGCAGUGGGGGUUGAGAGGUUGAUGCUUCACGAGGAACAUAGUUCUCAUCACGGUCACAACGAUCAAAGUCCUCAUCCUCCAUAUGACUCUCUCUAAUAAAAUUAUGAAGUGCCAUACAUGCAACAAUUAUCUGACUUUGCUUUGGCAUUGGAUAACUUGGUACUUUCAACAAAAUCCGCCACUUCAUCUUAAGAACUCCAAAUGACCUCUCGACGCAAUUCCUAAGAGAUGAAUGAGCAAAGUUAAAGGUCUCUUUCAUACCUUUGGGCAUCGGCCCCUGUCUAAACUCUGGAAGAUGGUACUCCGUUCUCUUGUAAGGUGCAAGAUAACCAGGCCGAUUGGGGUAUCCAGAGUCCACUAGGUAAAACUUCCCUGCAAGUUGAGGUCAAGUGCCUCAAUGCCAAUCCGGGGACCACUGACGGAUCCUGACCCCGGAUACUGGCUCCCCUCGCCGGCGAAAGAUGGCUACAGAAGAUUUUGCUACUUUAUUGAAUAAGGCUAUAUGUUUUACUAAAAAGCACAUGUUUAAGUAUUAUGCUAAGAUGUUGUGCUUCCUACGGUGUAGAAUAUCUCCUGCCGCAAAUUUCUAUUUCCGCCUCAUGAACCAGGUACUAGCAUGUUUGCAUGCAGUCUCCUUUGCAUGUCAGAUGGACACAGCCUUUGGAGUUGUAGUGGAGAUGGACUUCCUGCUGGGGGUAAAUUUCGGAGGCUUGAGUAAAUGUGUAUCUUUAGAUCAUGUGCUUUGCCUCCUCAUAGUUAGGUCAAGGUGUCCAUCUUUCAAAUCCUCCUACCUAUUAUUGCUCUUUGCAUUGUUGUUUCCCUGGAAGGCAAAUAUGAAACGUGUCUGAUGAAUUGUUAAAAGAAUUGUUGCACCCUGCUGUGUUAUUGGGGACAGGUGGAAGGAAAAAGUAUGGAUUGCACCAAUAUUGGAUUUUGCAACUGCAACUAAUCAUUAUUCCCCAUCUGCAAAUAGGGCAAUUUUAUACAAUAGACAAACAUUGCCUCAGCUGCUCUUUUUUUUUUUCAGAAAAUAUUAGCAAUAGAGAAACAUUCUGUUCCACAGACAUUUUGUUACACUCCUCACACAUUGACUCAUGCAGGCCAAUGCUUUUUCCUAAAUUUCCAUGAUGGAUAUUAGCAUCCAGCUUAUGUAAAUGUGAAUGGAGAAAGUUAUUGAAAACUUCAGGACUAAUAGAAUAUCUGAAACCCUGUGUCGUCGGCUUCUCUCACAAGUGACUAUGCAAUGUGGUACGUCACUUAUCUUUGUUGUCACUAUGUCUGUGUAUACAGUAUACGUACAUUGCUAUGGGAGCAGAAAUUUUUUCAAUGUUAUGUGCCAUGCUCAUUUUGACAUUAUUAUGUAAAAGUUGAUACUUAUGAAUCUUGUGAGCCAUAAAAUAAUAUGUUGUUAAUAUCAAUACCAUGUUUUCCGUGUUAGAAAUUUUUCAUAGCCCGUAGCAACGCACGGGGAUGAUCCUAGUAUGUAUUAUAUGUGUGUUAUUGUGAAAGUGUUUCUUGGCCAACAUCAUAUAUGCAUUUGAUGGAUAUUCACUUUUGUCCUCCGAAAAUCGUAGUUAUUGUUAUUUAGUAUUGCACAUUCUUUUCCUAUUAUUUUUCGCGGUUUAGCCCAUGCAUCUAUGCAUGUGUUCCUCGCGUGCACUCUCACGUCACAUGACUAAUAAGGUAUAUAAUUAAGAUCAAGUGACCUAAUUAACAAUGUAUGGUGGUCUCAGCCUUGUUCACUUGAUACGCGAGGUCAGUCGCUGAAAGUGAAUGGGAAUUAAACAAAGCAAGAGCACAUCAAUGUGCAUGAACACACAUUCCAUGAGAGAUGAGGCCAUGAACGAAGAAGUCGAUAGAUAAAAAGGUCAACGGAAAGGGAAUGGAUGGUUUCGUAUUAGAAAAAUAAUGUGAGAGAAUAAAAUUGUAUGAUUAAUGUUAUUUUUUUGCGAGAAAAGAGAGCCUUCAUUGAUUAAGUCAUGGAAGAGUUACAAUCCCUGAGCGUAAUACCCCCUAACCACACUGCUGUUGAGUUAACUUGGCGAGCGUGUUGACUUAACUCAUGCGCAACUGAAUUUUGGCUUCUCUUUACAUAUUGGAAGUUACUCUAUUCAAUCCUUGACAUAUGCUCCCUUGCAUUUGUAAUCCAUGAAGCUGAACUUGAUCGAUCCCUUUCACCCAACGUCAAACUUCUUAUACAUGUACUGUUAUAUGAUUCCAGGAUAAUUGGACCUUUUUUUGGCACCAUUGCACAACCAGCCUCAAACCUUCACAACUGAUUGAUAGUCAAAAAACAAGUGCCAGGCUAAUCACAACAUCCCCAUUGUGGUUCCAGCACCUGUACUUGCCUGCCUAGUAGCAUCUAUAAAACUUGCAUUGACAUUUAAUUUCAACCAUCCUUGCAGGUGGAUUCCAAGUAGGUACUAGCCGGGAUGCUCUUGCAAUCUCAUUUGCUGCUAUCUCUUUAGCCUUCUUUGAUUCACCGAUGACCCGCUUACCCUUUACAUCUUCCAUGAACACAUCAGAAUGUUGGAUUGACAAAUUAUUCAGCAUUGAUUCAAUUACUCGCACUGAACCUGCAACGGAGAAAUAUGUGCCUCCAUGUGUGAGAUCAUUAUGUACCGACCAAUUUCUCCAGAGAAACAAUAUUAAAGCAGGCCUAGCAUUCUCCGGUGUAUUGUUAAGGGUGAGCAGAAACCACUCUGAUCCGGUGUACUGCAAUUGGGAAAUUUCUGGUAUAGCCCACCUAUGUCGGAUUUCUGUUAGAAGAGCUCUGGCACGCGAGCAUCCUGCUACUGCAUGUGCUGCAUCUUUAGGUUCAAGUCCACAGAUUGUGCAGGUAUCAUCCUCAAUAUUAUGCCUUGUCUUCUUAUUAGUGUUCGAUGCAAGAGCAUUUGAGGCAAGUCUCCAUGCAAACAUACGCGCUUUUGGUGGUCGUACAUCUGCCUUCCAGAUAUUUCUAUAUAGCUUCUCUCUCCUCUUUGGUUCUGUACUCGAUGCCAUCUGGUCCUGACAUUGCAGCCUCAGAGCUAAUUUAUAUGUAGACCUUACCGGAUUUCUCAAAAUGCCAAGCAAUUUGGUCACGUGUUUCAUUAGUCGAAAUUUGGUCACGUGUUUCAUUAGUCGAAAUUCUUAUCUUUAGAAUAGCAUCAACAUCCACUGGUAGGAAAAUAUUUCUGUUGACGCAAAAUCUAGGCUUUAGUCUCUUGGGUUGGAAGCACGUAAGGACCUGGGAAUCUGUUUAACUCCAGUGCAUGCUCCAAAUCGGCUCUCGUAGGUACACGGCGUGCUAGUCAAUUUGACCUGCAAUGGACAAGGAAAACGUGAAAUUCCUGAGCCGAUAGGCGACGAAGCCUUCGAGGUGUUACUUUGAAUAAACACCAUUAAGAUAUAUUCUAUGUAGUCAUGCGGUGUAAGUAAAAGAAAGUAUUAAAGGCAUGUGCCAUCAGCUAUAAGAGCUGACAUGCUAAGAUAGAUACAAGAUAAAACAACAGCCACUAAAGAUAUCUUGUUCACCACUCUCGCGGCAUUUAAACUAACAGAUCUAAUUAUUAAUAUCAUGAGCCGAUAGAUCAAACUUAACCGAGACAGUAUGGUUGAGAGAGCAUUAACUUCAAUGUAUUAAUCUUAAAGCCUAGAUUAUGGCAACAAUACCUCGCACGCAUAGCCAUCGGCUCGAUGAUGUCAUCUUGCUACUGAGAAGGAGGGAUCAGACCCAACUGAGACAGCAUCGGCUCAACAGCAGCAAUCUAACGCUAAGGGCCCAAUGACCAGUGAUACGAGGGGCAGGGGUAAAGAUCUAUUGGACCUGGUAAAAAUAGGCAAUAAUUUUGAAGGAUCUAGUUGUAGAAAUAAGAAAAAGAAGAUCUUAUGCUGAAUAUAAAUUAUUUGUGGUGUUAGCAAACGGUUUGAUGUAAUACAAGGAUGCCCCCCGUACAGUGUGGAAGUAUACUUCGCUGCUGCAAGGAUAGUUUAUACACACACAUAUUCUUGGUUAUAAUUUAAUCAGUCUGUUAAGGAAUUCCAUAUGCCCUUGAACCUCAUGAAAAUGAAGGGAGUGAAGACACACCAAAAGGUUAUUUUAUAUUUGGAGGCUAGGUGGAACAUGUCAUCAAUGAUCAUUCAAAUAAUAAAAAAAGGAACAGUAAAUAACUGUAAAGAUGUUCUUCACAUGUCAAGGCCAUAUUCAUAUCUUUCCAUGGGCUAUUGCAAAGGAAAAAUGCUAGUGAUGCCUGUUGGAAUGAUCUCUAUGCUUUACUUUCACUCAUCUUGAAAACAUCUACCCUUGCAACUUCUUGGGGCAUAGUUUAUCCCAUUCAUCUACUAAAGCUCAGCACCAAAUUCAAGAAGCUUUCUUGAGGUUCUGUUCUAGGUUUGGGACAAAUAUUAGAUGUAAUCCUUCUUUCACAUCACAUUCACAAAACAAUUAGGUUUGUUGGCAUCUGCGGCGUUAUGAAUUGUCCAAAAAUACAAAUGAUUGGCAAAAUAUCUUUACCGGUUUGUUCACUAUCAACACCUUAGUUAGUUCAUGCCUUAUCUUUUUUAGGAAAUUCUUGUUUCUUAUGUGCUUUAUAUAUGAUUGAGUUAAAUAUUUUGUUUCUUAAGUUUAAAAUGUUGGAAUUCAAUGCUGAGCUUCAUUUUGGUUCAUAUUUGUUGAGAAUUCUGUUCGUGCUUCUUACAUGAGGUAUUGAUAUUAAUGAGUGUCGUAGCAAUUUAAAGUAUGCCUCCCCAUCCAUAAAGAGAAGUACAAAUAUAUCAUCUUUAUGGUCCUAGUUCUUGCUAAUAAUUAUUACAAUGAUUUCUAUGAGUUUUCUUCUGCAUACAUGUACGUUUCUUUUUAUUAAUGAAAAUUUGUUUUAGGUGAUUGAUUGCUUUGCCACAGGUCAGAAUUUUGGAGUCUCUCACCAAGUUUUUUUAAUGGGAAGCAUGGUAUUUUAAUGGCAUUCAAGGAUGUUCUUUUGUGCUGAUCACCCUAGUGUAGUUUGUUAUUUUGUAGCUAAACCUGUCAUAUUUUGAAACUUUACUUUUGUAUUUCAGUAUAUUUGCUCUCUUUUGCUAGCUGUGCCUCUCUGAAUGUAUAUAAUGAUGAGUAAAAUGUGAUUUCAUCUUGUAUAAGUAGUAAGAGCAAUUUACGAAUUAGUUUGGCUAUACUUUUUCUUUGUACCGAUUAUAGCAUAUUGUUGCUUCCUCAAGGAAGAUCCACAGUGACAGUGCAAUCAAUAUACCAGUUUAGUUGGACUUCGUUGAAAUUUUUAUCUCCCUUGUUUGGAACUUGAGAAGAAGCAGAAUGAACAUAUUACAUGGUAGAUAUGUAUGAUAGUGUGCAUGAAAAAUUAAUUUCAGAGUCCGAGCUAUGAUUUACAUAAGCAAGAAUAAGGAUUACUUUGCGAGAAUGACUUUAGUUCCUCAUUAUGGGCUAAAGUUCUUCUAUUUCCUUCAAUUAAAAUGAGAGAUUGAGUGUGGUGGGCUUGUGGCAAGAACCAAAUAAAAUUGUUUUAUUUUAUUUUAAACAACAUGCAGAAAAAAUGGAAACCUUUCCCAUGAAUUAUUGUGAAACCAACGUUGGAUAGCAGAUUCACAUAGGUCUUGCGUUUAUGGUUGACUGUUGACUAUAUGGGAUAUAUAAACAAAAGUAAAAUAUCGCCGGCCUUCCUUAAAUUUGUACUAUCGUGUCAUCUAGAUCCACCAUCUUUUAAAAUGCAUUUUUUUUACUUCCCAAUCUUGUUAAGUUGAGCACCAUUUCAUUGAGGAGGUUGUGGGUAGUUCUUGCUCGCUGUGCCCCUAUCGCUCGCGUGCACUACAGGCGUACGCAGACCUGGCUUUGGGGCCAUGCAAGAGAGGCGACCGUCGGGGGUCCUUGCCGGAUAGGGGCCCUAAAACAAAUUAAAUGUGUUCUCCUGUAUUGCUGUGUCCCCAUGCCAAAGCCUCCAGAUCCAACCGUUAGCUUCGUGUGCAGGAAGAGCUGCGGAGGCCGCGAUCGAGGUCAAGGCCACGAGGGGUAGGCACGCUGCACGAGAAUACAAUUUGACAAUCGCAAUCUAUCGUGGGCCCCUCGCGCAGACUCAGGGGUGUUGGAAAGAUAGGUGCUAAACUUGAGCUCUUGUCACAUCGGAUAUUUGGACACUAAUUAGAAGUAUUAAAUAUAGUCUAAUUAUAAAACUAAAUUGCGAGACGAAUCUAUUAAGCCUAAUUAGUCCAUGAUUUGACAAUGUGGUGCUACAGUAAUCAUUCGCUAAUGAUGGAUUAAUUAGACUUAAUAGAUUUAACCUAGUGAUUCUGCUAUUAGUUUUGUAAUUAGCUCAUGUUUAGUCCUCCUCAUUAGCAUCCGAAUAUCCGAUGUGACGGGGCUAAAGUUUAGCCCCGACCUCCCAAACACCCCCUUAGCAAAAUGAAUCAAUAUAUCGUCGUCUUGUCGAAACGAAUUGCAACGCUGCCCUUUCGUCUCUCGUCCUCUCUGCGUGCCCUCCCUGCUCUUGGCCAUCAGGUGCUAGCAGGAUCAGCAGUCCAGCACUGCAUCACGGCAACGGCGAGUCACCGACUAGCCAAGCGCCCUGCCUACCGGCUACCGCCCUAUUUUCCGAAUUCCUGAAGCAGACAAGCAAUAAGUUAUUGACUUAUAUUUGAAUAAUAACUAUUUGCUAAAUAUUCAAUUUUAAACGUUCAAUUCCAGUGACCACUAUUUUUGCUUUCAUGCACAAUUUAUGUCUUAGAUGCUACCAAAAUAGUAUUUGAGGUAAUAAUAUUGGUUUUAUUUUACCACUCUUUUAGUUUGUACCAUCAAUAUUGUACUGAAUAAUUAAAUAUAUGUUAUUAAGUAUUAUUAUCUCCCCUAUAAUGUUACAUAUAAAAAAAUAUAUUUAGCCUAAGGGCACAUAAUGUCCGGUUCGCUUUGGGGGCCCUCAAAAUCAUAGAGCCGGCCUGGGCCUAUGCCAGGUAUGGCCUGCAGGCUGUGGGCAAGUUCUUGGGCGUCAGGUUGUGGGCGACUGGGCGAGGCCAGCCAUGCGGUGCGAGGGCUCAGCGGGAGGGGGGAUCAGGGUAGGGGGCGGAGCUCCAGACAAGCGUCCCCAAGGUCCAAGCAAUGGCCAGCCUCGGACGAAGAGCAGGAUAUCCAUUUCUCUUGUUGUUUUGCUCCGUUCCAUUGUUGCUCAAUUUCCUUGUCAAUUAAACUUGGGAUCGCGCAUCGUGUUAAUUCAACUGCUGAGCUAUCGCAGGUUUGCUUCUAUACCCAGAAGGCCAUCGUGCAGCUCGUGCCGCCAAGCGGGGCAGUUAGGAGACGGGGAUGCGCCGCACGCCGAGGCCACACUAGAGAAGUUCACGUCCGCUGUCAAGCUGGUGAUCGCCGACGGGUUCGAGUCGUCGAGGACAAGUGCGCGGCGGAAGCCAGCGGCAAGCCAUCCCAGCUCCCACCAUGCUCGCCGCGAUCACGCGCAUCGCGGCGGCGCCGAUGGCGCCGAGUCCGACACCAAUUCGCCCAGACAAACCAGCCCAACCCCCGGAAUUCCUCUCUGCUAUAAAACGAAAACUCAGCCCCAAAUUCCUCUCGACGAAAAUCACUGCGAAAACAUGGCGACUGCCGCCUCACGAGCUCUCCCUCCACCACCGGCCUCCCCGGCGGCGCCGGCCAUCCGCGCCGGCUGGGCGCUGUUCGACCCCUUCGUCCUCACGGGAGAGGAGGCCGUCGCCGAGGACCCCGCCGCCGCCGCGGCCUGCACCACGAGCGCCGGCCGCGGCGUCUGCGUCUCCCUCCGCCUCGCGGACCCGCCGGCCGCCUCCUACGUCGAAAUGCGCACCGACGCCGAGCCCUUCGGCACGCCCUCGGUGGUAGCCACCGACGGUGAUCUCCUCCUCAUAGACAUGUUCGUCAAGGUGCCGGCCACCUCCUCCCACGAGCAGAACUCCUUCGUCUACAGGGCGCACCCGUCGUCGCCGUCGCUGCGGCUGCUCCCCCACCGCGACGACUGGUACGCGUACACCGGUAUCGUCGAUCGCCGCCGCGACGGCACGGAGGAAGAAGAGGAGUUCGUGGCGGUGGCCUUCAGCACAGAGGUCAUCUUCGCCGGAGGUGCGAGGUGGGGUGAGAGACCGGAGGGCUGUGAGGACGAGGACGACGAGGUGGGCAAGCUCACGCGGUUCUCGUCCUCGACGGGGCAGUGCGAGGUCCUGACGCUCCCGAUCCCCUUCGACCCGAGCAAGGGGCUCUACAAGUUCACCUGGCGCACCGACAAGGUGUUCCCUUUCUACGGGCUCAUGUGCUUCGUCGACUACCACCGCGGCAUCCUGCUCUGCGACGUCUUCGCCGCCGGCUCGCCGGAGCUCCGGUUCCUCCCCUUCCCGGAGAUAGAGGUCUGGGACGACGAGUACGACUAUUGCCACGGCCGACGCCUCCCGGAGGCCUACAGGACCGUGGACGUCAGCCGGGGCCUCAUGAGGUUCGUCGACGUCAGCGACGGCCUGUUCGGCCGGCGGAGGAACCCCUUGACGACGCCGGAGAUGGAGUGGGAGAAGGACAGCGUGCUCCAGGUCCAAGAUCUCUGGAACUCCUCCUACGAGUUCCGCCGCUCGCCGCUGCCGCGCCGCGCGCCGGAGUUCCCCACCGUGUGCAGGCACGACCCGGACGUCGUGCAGUUCGCGCUGCUGGAUCCUAAGUGCAGGACCAAGAACGCGUGGGUGAUCAUGGUCGAUACGAGGCAGAUGGAGCUGCAGGCCUACGUGCCGUACACGAACCAAGCGAAAGAGGGGGCCGACGAGCACGAGGUUGUGGGGUGCCUGUUUUAUGACAAGCCAUUGAUGUGCAGUGAUCUUAACAACUUUUGAUCGGAUGGGUGCCGGUAGUAACUGAAGGCUUUGCACGGUUUAUUGGGAUCAGACGGUGCUAUGUAGAAUGACAUGCAUGGUUAUUGUUGUGGAUGGUUAUCUUAGGUGUUGUGAUGUUGCUUCUACAAGCAUGUUGUCAGAAAUAGAAAUACAGUGAUAUAAUCUUGAUGUAUAUUUAUACCGCAUCGAGCGCCCGGACCUCCGAUGGGAAAGGACGCUGCAUUGCAACAUCAAAACAAAACAUCCGCAACAUCGAAAAUCUAUAGUUGCAACAAUGAAAAAUAUGUGAAAAAAUGACUACGUCACUCGACUCUGGGAUAGAAAAUUCCCGCCGCAACGCGAACACUAUGUUUCAUGCAACAUUCACUGUGAAACAUAUGGAAACAAUAGUUGCAAUGUCGAUGUUUAACUACUGGAACAUACCUCGAUGCGUCUAAUUUUUUUAAGAUUUUGGACGUCUAUUCUGUAGCAUUACCGAUAUUUAUAUUUGUCUCCUGAUAUGAUAUGCCUCUCUUGUGUGGUUGCAUUGUCAAGAGGUGGAAUGGAGGAAAUUGGCUUUUUUCUUAUAAACAACUUCUGACAUGGCUCUGUGUUUCCUACCUAGUAAUUCAAGUUUUUUGUUGAGAGACUGUUACCUACAUCAAGUUGGGAGCGUCUAUGUAACAACGAUUUUGUAUAACAAGAAGUAACAAAUUGUUUUCUUAAACAAUAGUAACAAACUGUUACUGGCACUGUGUGUGUGAAAAAGAAUAGAAAGGAGGCAACCCGAAGCAAGGCCCGGCCCGUACGCGCUAGUGCGUUGUCAUCCAUCGACGGCCCACGGGCGCGCGCACGGGGCGACCCACGUGCGUACGUAGUCGGGCCGUGACGUGUCUGGGCCUUGUGACAUCCCUCCUCGUUCCAUUUCUGUUACGACAUGAAUGCCGCUAAUCCCAUCUCGCCACGACUCGAACACCAGGAUUAGAAACCCCAAGCUACCCUUCAAAAAGAGAGGAAAAAAAAAGCCCGCACGCAUCGAGUCACUCUGCCUCUGCUUUCUCCUCGCCGUUCCCACCGCACUCCCAGAUCUCCCCCCUCCCCCACGCCUCCCCUCUCGCGUCGCCACGAUGGCCGACGAGACCCUCGACCCGCCGCCGGACGCGGCUCCGUCCCCGUCCCCUGCCCCAGCGACGCCGCCGCCUCCCGCCGCCACCCCCGCGGCGCUGCUCCGCCCGCGGCGGGAGGCGUUCGAGCACGGCCUCCUGCCCAUCCCCAAGCUCAUCUUCCCGGAGGGCACGCUGGCGCAGACCCUCGCCCAGCUCAAGGAGAAGCUCGCCGCCGCGGUCCCCGGCGGCGGGCGCGUGGGCGCCGCCGCGCUGGCGGAGGCGCUGCAGAUCCCGCAGGAGCAGGCCGCGCUCGCGCUCGGCACGCUCGCGGCCGUGCUCCCCGCCGAGGACCCCGCGCUCGGGGACGGCGCCGGGGACGCCGACAUCCACGACGUGCUGCUCUUCCUCUACGUCCAGUCGUACAAGCGCCUCGUCCCGCGGAGCGCGCACAAGGACUCGCCCGCUGUGGCGGACGUUUGGCCCUCCACCUCCGCGUUCGAUGGGUACCUCUCCGCGCUCUCCCCGAUCCAGGUCAGGAUCAACCGCUCCCGUUCAUGAUCGCGUUUUCUAAGAGGACCUUGCUACUCGUAGGAUUGCGGUAUGAAUGCGAGUAGUUGAUGCAGAAACAGAAUGUGUUUCGCGUUUAUCUGUAAAUUCGAUGUGCCAUCUCAGAUUGAGAUGGUGGCACUGUGACCAGCUGCAACCACACCUGGGAUUCCGUUAACAUACUCAUUGACUGCUGAAAUCGUUCUAUACUGAAGUCCUGCGUGUUGCUAGUUCCAACGGCAUGCUGUGUGUCAUAGGAAACCUAGUACUAUCAAAUUGCUGUUACAACCAUCUGUCAUGAGUGAUGGUGAUGGGGGACCCACCUAAGGUAUACACCAUCCUAUUCUCAUUUGAAGCUGCUGUAGAAAGCCACCAGCAGUGCAGCCACAGAUUGAGGCAUGUGUCAUACUACCAGAUCCUCACUAAACAUUGCAUGACUGAUCUUUUAAGCGGUCCAGACCGGCGGAGGCUCCGGUUCCCGGUUUUUUCCGGUCACACCGCCGGUCCGGUCCAGUCCUAAUAACUAGGGCCUGGCUCUCUUUUCUGUAAGGUGUAUAGAAAGAACUGAUAAUUUCAUAAAUCCAAAUUUGCUUGAUGAUUGGAAUUUGUAUGCUAAUAGCGAACGGUGCUCGAUGUGCCUGCAGAAGUGCAGAGUUGUUGCUAUUUGUUGUUUCUGAAGCAGCAGCAUUGACUGUUUAGCUCUUCUGGACCCAGACCAAAUCCAGCACAUAAAUUUUUAAUUAACCCUUUUUUCAUACUGAUGCAUGGAAAUACAAUUUACGUUUGUAUGUUCAUUUACUUCUAUUUUUUUGUUAUUGGUUGGAGGAUAUAGUACUUGCGUGGUGGAUACAAUGUUGUCAAAAUAGGCACAUAAUUUUAGUCUGUGCGAAACUAGAGAGCCCACCCCCAUGACAUACGUCCAGGCUGUUUACUGCCAUGCUGAUGUCCUGGUGAAUGCCAUGUGGGUGUGGUAGUCAGAAAAAACGGGUCGGAGGCACCGUUCCUUGACCUGGAAACGCCGACCCCGUCCCAGGAAUGUGGGGUCAUUUUCGUUACCGCCUUGUAAAAACCACUCAUAAGUAGCGCACCACGUUCCUCGAUCCCAUCGACCCGGGAACUUUGUAACUGUGUGGGGCUGAGGCUGAUUGCACUUGUUGGUGCAUUGAUGACAUGAAAACAAUAUUAGUGUUGUAUGUUUGCAGUUUGCACUGUUUUCAAGUUCCAUGAUAAAACUGUGGUCACCAUGCAAGUUGUGGUACCCAAAACACAAUGUACUCUAUAAUUUUGAUAUCACAUGCCUUUUAAUAAUCCCAAGUUAUGUUGUUUUGCAGCUUGUUCGCAGUAACAGCCGUCGGUUUAUGCCUUCUCAAGCUGAUGAGGAAAUUCAUCAAUUAUCCUAUCUGCAAAAGCAUAUGGCAAAUAUUCUUACUCUCUUGGCAGAUUCUGUUGAGGGUGAGGGUGACGAUUCUCUGGUAUGCUACCUUUUCUUCUGAGCAGUGUGCUUUGGUAGUUUGGUGUGUUUUGUUUUCUGAUUUUCUUACCAGAGUGAAGCUGACAUGAUAAAUGGCUGAUAGAAACAAUAACCUUAAUCAUCGGACUGGACAAUAAAGAAAUGGCAUGUGAAGCUCUGUUAUCACUCGUUCAAGAUGUAGGCCUCCAAGUAGAAUAUGAGACAUGAUGUUGUGAGUUUUCAUUGAAAAAACCAACACACAGGUAGAUGUGUGGUAGUCUUAUCAAUCAAAUAAAGGAAAGAGUGAGGAAUGUACAAUUUGAUGCAGGCAUAUGUAUAUGGUCCAAAUGAUGCCUCAAUCAAAUAAAGGAAAGAGUUGGUGACCAUUAUUUGCAUUGAUUUUUUGCAGGUAUUGACAAUGGAGACUUUUGAGCACCUUGGAUUUCUAGUUCAAUUCUCAGAAGGAAGUUCCUUAAGCCAGGCUGCUACAUUUUUCGCAAACUCUGAUCCAGACAUGCCUGCGGCUCCUGUCCCUGCUGCUCAGGUUCUUGAUUGGAUGUCACAGAACAUAGCUUCUGCACUGGAAUAUUCUGCUGAGAGGUCUGCAGCAAAGGAAAGCAAUCAGCAAGCCAUGUCUGAUCUUGAUGUAACCAUGGCUGAGGCCAAUACAAGUCAUCCACGGAACAGCACGCCAAGUUCCAAUCCUGCAUACUACAGAAAUGUAACGUUUGUCGAGGGCUUUUCAAAAACCUCUGUUGUCAAGCAUGCAUCUGAUAUCAAAGGGAAUUCAAUAAAGGUACAUUGAUAGUUUCUUGCCACUAGCUAACUUCUGGGGCUUGAGUAGGGCUGAAAGAGAUUUUGAUCUUCAUUUUGUUUCUUUAACACGUUCAAAAUUUCAUGCUAUCUGCAUCAGAUAUGCAAUGUAAGGUUGUCGUUCAAAAUUCCUUUAAUGCAAAAUAUGGUUUCACAAGUUUUGGAGUGCUUACAUUAAUCUCUCCAUUUUUCUUUACUUGUUGCUUCGGACAUUGACAUGGCCCCUCUGCAUACUAUUUGACCAUUGCGUUUUUAUUGUACAUGAGCAGACUUACAAAGUAUGAUGAUAUUGAAGUAUUUUUCAUGCCAAAUGUGCUAUUAUCAUUCUGUGUGACCAAUUUAAGCAUAUCUGCAAUCUGCAUCUGUAUGGGCAAAUCUAAAAAAGCUGUCUAUUAUCAUUCUAUGAUGACAAAUAAAAGAGAAUGAAGUUCAUAUAUGUAGUGUUUAUCUGGCCAUUGAUAUGGCACUCAAAACACUGCGAGUCAUUUUUUUGCUGGAUCUGUACCAUUCUGUUACUGGCUCUAGAAGACAAAUUCUACACUGUAGGUUUUGGAUAAUCUGAGAAAUGAUAAUUCUGACUAUCAUUAAAUGGGUCAGGGUGCAUAGAAGAUUGAAGUUGGAAGAGAAAUAUGUGGGCUGAUAAUCUGAUCUGGAAAUGCUAGCGUGUCACAGUGGAGGCUACUCAUUGCCCUGCAUCUAGCAAUUUUUGUUGGCAUAAUGGCAUGCAUUUCAGUAGUUGGUUUAUGUCUUGAACAAUUAAAUCUCAGAGCUAGGACUAUAUUUUACUGCACUGGUAACUCAAAUUGCAUACUCCUUUUGUAGGUUCUGAACUGCCAUGAUUCUGUUAUCUACAUAUUAGCACCGCUGAAAUAUGCUACUGUGUAUGGUUGUUCUGAUGCUACAAUUGUUCUCGGUGCUGUUGGUAAGGUAUGCAUUUAAUUCUAUCCCUGCUGUCACAGAUUGAUUUUUCUUUCUCAUUAAUCUGUUUUAUUUAUAAGUUAUAUUUUGCUUAAGAAAGAUUCUGCUUGCUGGAAUGGAUCUGCCACCUGCCACCUAUAUAGUUCCUUUCUCUAUAUUGCUCAUUACUCUGUUUUAGUGUUUUAUAUUGGGCCACGGCACUUUUGUUCCUACAUAUAUAGUUCAUUUCUUGGUAGUCCUAUCAGCUAACUAGCAGAUAACUUGCCAUUGACGCGGUUAUUUGUUAUGGUCUUAACUUCCAUAUAUACCAGAGUCCAGCAGAGCUGAUCAAUUAUCAACACAAUUUUUUUUAUUAAGCAUUUCCCAGCUAUGUGUUCAUAAUUAGAUUGUAGAGGAUGUGGGUAACUGUUACCUUUCUGCCUUUUGAUGGCAAUUCUAUCAGGUAUGGGGGGAUAUGUUCUGGGCUGUGAUGGAUGUGUGCUAAGCACCAAUAUGCACACGUAUACAUGCCCUGCUAUAAGAGUCGAAGCUCUGUAUCAAAGAGAGACACCAGUGGUUGGAUUUUGUACCUAUCUCUAGCUCCUCUGAUAUCCCCCCCUUGUUUCCCCUUGUUUCAGUACCUUCCCAGUCUAUCCUAGUUGUUAGUAACGUACUAACGUUGGUAAAACUCAGCAAUUGAUGGGAACUUGAUUUUGUUUAUUUGUUAGCAACUAUAUUUUACAGGUCUACUUUGAUUUUUUUAUGCUGUCAGGUAGUAAAGGUGGAGCAUUGUGAAAGAGUGCAUAUCAUUGCAGCUGCAAAACGAAUUUGUAUUGCCAACUGCCGUGAGUGCCUCUUCUACUUGGGGGUUAAUCACCAACCUCUUGUAUUGGGGGACAACCAUAAAUUACAAGUAUGUUCUGUUACUCCAUUUCCUUGUGCUUUUAAGUGGCAGUGGUAGGGGGUGAUGGUGUAAAUAUUUGAUUGCCCAUCUCUUUAAUGGGUGGCUAGAUCAAAGGUCAACAGAUAACCAUUGUACAUACUAUUCACAAGUCAGGAUACAUAGAAAUUACAGAUGACAGACAAUAUUGAACUUAGUGGUGUGAUUUUGUACCGUACUUCAUAUUUAAUUAUUUAUAGUGCUCAAUUUCCUUUCCUGUAUCAACAGGUUGCCCCAUUCAAUACUUGCUACCCACAGCUGCGGGAUCAUUUGAUACAAGUUGGUGUUGAUCCCAGUGUCAACAAAUGGGACCAACCUUUUGCGUUGGGAGUUGUUGAUCCACACGAUUCAUUAUCCCAUCCUGCUGGGGUUUCUGAUGUUAAAGCUGAAUCUGCUACGUGUCUGGAUCCUGAUCUAUUUACCAACUUUUUGGUAUGUGAAAAGUACAUUUUAGGCUUUAGAUCUGUAAAUCAACGUGAAUACAGGGAAAAAAAAGGGAAGAAGCACAGACCCAAUAAGUCUUCCUCCUUAAGUUCAUUUUUCGCUGUUCUCGAUGCAGUAUUAGAUUUUGCAUAUAUAAACAUUAUUCUUGCCUUGUUCUGCUUCUCCAUUGCAAGUGAGUAUUGAGCCCAAUUUGCAACCAUGUCAGCUGCGCCCACUAAUUACAAUGUGGCAACUUAGCAUCCCGCAUGCUAAAAUACUUGAGCCAGUUCUUGACGGUAAUGUUUUGCUCCACUGAUGAUUCAUCUAGACAUGUUGGCCCAAAUUGAUCUUUUCCAUUAACCACAGCCACAAAGGGCAGUUUGGGGUACAUAUAGGCCAACCAUGGGUAGAUGGCUUAGAAGCUGAUCAAAGCAUCUAAAGAGCAUCUAAGUAGAUAAGGUGCACACAGGCACAUAGAUAGAUAGAUAGCACACCCAACACACACAUGACUUAGUCUAUCAAUCUCCCCCUAAGUCUUGCGUGUCUUGAGCGGCAGCUGGACCAUCCCAAUCCUGGAGCGAAGUUCCUGAAACUUGAUUCUUCCAAGGGACUUGGUGAGGAGGUCAGCGAGUUGAUCCUUGGUGUUGAUGUAGUUCACCUUGACACUUCCUCCAAGCAACCUCGGAUGAAGUGGUACUUCACUCUGAUGUGCUUGCUUCGCUCAUGGAAGAUGGGAUUCUUCGCUGGAGCCAGAGCGGACUUGCUGUCCACCCUGAGCUCCAUUGCUAGCGUCCUUGCUAAGGAGAUCACCGAGCAGCCGAGUGAGCCGGAGAGCCCAACACACAUAUGACUUAGUCUAUCAGGACAAAUGCAUAUUAGUACCAUUCAAUGAAUUUUACUAAUAAUUAAUAAAAAUUACUGUUCCUUUCUAUUAAAAAUAUGACAGCAAGGCCUUUCUUUCUGCAGAUUCCUAGUUGGUUUGGAGAUGAAAGGCAAGGGCCUACAACAUGCAAUCCUUUCCCAUUGCCUGAAAUUUAUGGGGCAUGCCAAAGCAAAAAGGUAUACUAAGUGACUAAAUACAAUAGAGCUAGACCAUACCAUAAUCCCUUUUAUCUCUUAAGAAAAUGUUCUAAUGGCUUCUAUAAUGUUUUCUAUUUCCAUACAAAUAAUAAUUCAUUUCAAGCUGCCUUAUUUAUUUAACAAUACAUGAAUGUAACUAUGUAAGAGUACCUCAGUUUAUACUUGUGGAAUCUGUUGAUUGCUAUUUAAUGGCACAGGAGCCCUCACUUUUUCCAUUUGUAGCAAUAUAUUCUGUUUGAUGGCUACGCUGCAUUCAUAGGACAGUCAUAUGAUUUCCUAUAUUUUUUAUGGAAUUGUAUGGCAAAAAAGAAAAGAAAAGGAUAACAUUAGGGAACUAGGGAGAAAUUCUUGCCCAUGCCUGCAUACCAUCUAUUGUUACAUCACCAGUGCUACGUCGAUCCUAGUGUCCUAUACUCCAAUCCUAAUCCAACUAGAUAAAUGAGGUUUGAAAAGAAUAUUUCUUUUUCUUAGCAAAGUAGUUGACAGUCAAAGGUAUAGUGUAAAUGUUGAUAGAUUAUUGAAUGUUGUUGGAUACAAUUCGUCCACUUUUCAUUAUUUUAUGAAGCUGUGUUCCUAAAGGCUAUGUGUUCCUAAAUAUGAUGUUCAUUUUCAGCAUUCUGCUCUGGAAGAUAUUCAGAAGACGAUUCGGGAGCUGCAGCUUGAUGAGAAUCGGAAAAGGGACUUGGCAACUGCACUUCAUGCCCAAUUCAAGGAUUGGUUAUAUGGUAACAUACUAACAUCUCAUCAGUACAUUCACUUUUUUACCAGCAUUUCAGUAGAUUAUAAGUUUACAUCUAGUAACCUUUGGUGUUGCACAAUUUUAUGCCAAUUAAUGUAAAUAGGUAUGCAGUGAAAUUGCAAUUACUGGACAGCACGAGUAGACUUCUUUAGUUCUUUACCCUUGGGAGUAUAUCUUCCUAAUUUCUAAACCUAGCUUCAUAAUUGAAUCAGAAUGUGCACAAUUGCACAAUAUGCGACACUAGAAAAAUAACUUCUUUUUACUGUUUAAGCUAAAUACCUGGGACCGUUCUCCCCUACACCUUGUGGUGCAUUUCUUCAACUCUGAAGCUCUGCAUCUGUAUGUUACAAAUAACCGAGUAGUGAGUAUAUAUUUUUCUUUCUCUUGAUUUGCACUGUAUCUACUUUGGUGGCGUAGAGAUCUGCUGAUUUCUUUGCUCUGUUUUGUUUGUCUACCCAAUAAAUCAUGAGAUUUUAUUUACCACGUAAAUGGUAAGGUCAAUCAAUUAUGUUUGCUUCCUUUUCCUUAUUAGGAGUUGGCAGUACUCCUGGCUCUAGUUUUUUCUUUGGAACGACCGUUGCAAAUGAUAUUGACUGAAAGUGAUAUUGGUCAGUUUCAUGUGGGUCUUGUGUGGAAAACUCGAUUUGUUUUCUUGUCGAUUAACUGGAAAUCCUUCUGUUUCAUGUCCUCAGCUUCGGGCAAUAUCCGCCAGCUCUACUGUCUACAAGGCGAUUAACCACCCAAUGAAUUGCGCCCAUAAAUGGAAGUACACCUGCAAGACU
rnacentral:lncRNA from 1 species